GCGCAGUCCUUGUUUUUGUGCCGACACCUUUUUCUGUUUUGGUGCUGCGUCACCCUAUUUUGGACCAAUGGCCCAUGUAUCAAGUUGAGUCCAUUAGAGACGCGUCCUAGGGUUGGAGAACGACUCUAGCACCCCUUUGGUCAUCCUCCCCUCUAUUUAUUUACAUCUAGAGCCGCCAUGAACAACUGGGUUUUGAUUAGAUAAAGUUUAGCCUUCGCUACUUGCUUGUAAACGCGCGUGCUGAUCCAGCCGCCCGUCUUCUUGUUUUCGAAACCCCACUUCAUUAGAGAUUGAGUUUGAAACCUUCAUUUACAUCUAGUAAUUUAGUACUUAUUCUACUUGUUCUUGCUGGUUCUUCGAUUGCUUGCAGGACGAGUGCCCUAGUGGCCGGGUGUUGCGCUCCACAAGAUCGUGACAGCCAUUGGAGGCGGUGUAUCGGUUGCUAAGGCGCGGCCUUAGAAGGCUGUAGUCGGGCCGUGAACGUCAUCUCUAUUCACUAAUCGAGUUAUCCAGCGCCUCUCAUCGAAAGAUCAGGCGAAAACCCUAGUGGGUUCACAUCAGUUGGUAUCAGAGCAAGGUUUAUCGGUGAGAGAUUUCCAAUUCUUCGUGUUUGUUUUUCCUAUAGUCCAAAAAAAGCCAAAAAAUAUAGCAGAUUUGUUUUCCAUAAUCCUAUAAGUCCUUUGUGCCGUGGCUAGUACUACUUAGUUAGGGCUGGUUGAAUGAGUGUUUGCUUCGGUCGUGUCCAGUGCUGGUUUUAGUUUAGUCCUUUAGAGUUUUGAGUUCUUGUCACCAUCUAGUCACAACUGCGUCCAAUCUAUUGUGGGUUGGAAUUUGAGUAGAUUUUGAUAAUAGGUGCAGCCACUUGUUGGUCUAUUCUGCAUUUCCAUCAACGUGAUUCAAAAAUGAAAGAUAGCACUUCAUACUUGUGCUAGAUAUAUUGAAUUUUGAGGUUCAGCCUUACUCUAGUGAGAGGGUGAGAGUGGUGAAGUGAUAUUUUGUACUAUUUUAUUUAUAUAAUCAGGUUUUGAGGUUCCCCAAAAAAAAGAAAAGAGAAAGAAAAAAAAUAAAAAAAAAGAAAGAAAGAAAGAAAAAAAAUCAAAAAAAGGGGAUUGUUGUUCCUUUUUGUUUCCAGUAGGGCUGCUCAUUUUAUUUCUAGUGGUGUGCUGUGUUUUUCCUUUGUGUCCAGGCUCGCGUCUCUAGCACGGUCUAGGCUAGGACCAACACAGUACCACCGUUGAGCGUUUAUUGAACUUGCUUUUUAUAACUAACGUGGUGCUAGUUCGAUCCUUGUUUCAGCCCACCUAUAGCUCCACAUAUUCUACAGCUUGAUAGGUUUUGUUGCUGCGGCACCGAUACACUUCGUCCAUUGCUGUGGAUUUGUUGGUAGCCAAUCCCUCCUGUUGAGCAAGGUAAGAAUUGGUAAGAACUUGUUAGACAGGUUGAUAGAGAGCGUCUUACAGUAGCCACAUCCUAAUAGCUGUAGGGUUUUUAUUUCUUCACCUAUUUUUCUUGUUUCCACUUUGUGUUUUUUUAAACCAUGUCAGAGACAGAGGAUACCAACAAAAUUCCACAGUCACCUCGCACUAAGGGCAUCAUACAACAUUUUGAAAGGCAAGUGAAGCUACACACAGAGGGACUUGAUGACGACUUGAAGGUGACGAAUGACAAGCUUGGGCAGUUGGAGGACACGCAGAUUGCCACAAACAACAAGAUUACAAAGAUGGAGGCAUCUAUUACUAGUAUGGAUAAAAGUCUUGCUGCUCUUCUCAAACGCUUUGAUGACUUCCACACAAUGGACAAAGAGAAUCAUAAGGAAGAAAACAAGGAGGAAGACCGAGUGGAUGGCAAUUAUGAUGAUGAUUACACUGCUGAUACGGAACGAGAUGAUCAAGACACUCAUCAUCGACGUCGCCUACGUCACACCCGUAGAGGUAUGGGUGGCCACCACCGAUGCGAGGUACACAAUAAUAAUAAUGCUUUCAGUAAGAUUAAAUUUAAAAUACCUCCUUUUGAUGGUAAAUAUGACCCUGAUGCAUACAUUACUUGGGAGAUUGCUGUUGACCAAAAGUUUACAUGUCAUGAAUACCCUGAGGAUACACGUGUUAGGGCUGCUACUAGUGAGUUCACCGAUUUUGCUUCCGUUUGGUGGAUAGAACAUGGCAAGAAAAAUCCUAAUAGCAUACCUAGAACUUGGAAUGCGUUGAAACAAGUCAUGAGGGCUAGAUUUGUUCCUUCUUACUAUGCACGUGACAUGAUUAAUAAGUUGCAGCAAUUGAGACAAGGUGCUAAAAGUGUAGAAGAAUAUUAUCAGGAAUUACAAAUGGGUAUGCUGCGAUGUAAUUUAGAGGAGGAAGAAGAACCUGCUAUGGCUAGAUUUUUGGGCGGGUUAAAUCGUGAAAUCCAGGACAUUCUUGCUUCUAAAGAUUAUACUAACGUAACCCGUUUGUUUCAUCUUGCUUGUAAAGCUGAAAAGGAAGUGCAGGGACGACGUUCACAUGAUUCUUCCACAAAUACAGCAACUAAAUCAGCCCAGAGACCAAUCGCUAGUGCCUCCUCGGUUAAUUCCACAGGAAGAACAAGAGAUGUUCAGUGUCAUCGAUGCAAGGGCUAUGGGCACGUACAGCGAGAUUGUCCAAACAAGCGUGUUUUGGUGGUUAACGCUGAUGGUGGGUAUUCCUCUGCUAGUGAUUUUGAUGACGAUACACGUGCUUUGCUUGCUGCUGAUGAUACAGGUAGGGAUGAAGCAAUAGAAGAGCAGAUAGGUGCAGAGAAUGUAGAGCAUUAUGAGUCUUAUUGUGCAGCGUGUGCUUAGUGCUCAAGCGGAGAAGGUAGAGCAGAAUCAGCGGCAUACAUUGUUCCAAACAAAGUAUGUUAUUAAAGAGCGUUCUUGUCGUUUGAUUAUUGAUGGAGGUAGCCGCAACAACUUGGCUAGCAGCAACAUGGUGGAGAAGCUUGCACUUACCACCAAACCACAUCCACAUCCAUAUCACAUUCGGUGGCUAAACAACAGUGGUAAGGCCAAGGUAACAAAAUUGGUGCGAAUUAAUUUUACUAUUGGUUCAUACCAUGAUGUUGUUGAAUGUGAUGUUGUACCUAUGGAAGCUUGUAAUAUUCUGCUAGGUAGACCAUGGCAAUUUUAUAAGGAAUGUAUACAUUAUGGUAGAUCAAAUCAGUAUUCGUUUAUGCACCAUGAUAUGAAAAUUGUUUUGCUACCUCUGUCUCCCGAAGCUAUCGUACGUGAUGAAGUUGCUAAAAUUACCAAGGCUAAAAUUAAGAACAAUGCAGAUGCCAAUGGAAAUAACAAAGAUGAGAUAAGAUUAAAUGGACAUUGCAUGCUUGCUACUAAAUUUGAUGUUAAUGAACUAAUUGUUUCCACAUCUACUGCUUAUGCUUUGGUAUGUAAGGGUGUUUUGAUUUCAAUUGAAGAUAUGCUGCAUUCUUUGCCCCCUGCUGUUCAUAACAUUUUGCAGGAGUAUGCUGAUGUUUUUCCAAGUGAGAUACCGGCAGGGCUGCCACCUAUACGUGGGAUUGAGCACCAAAUUGAUCUUAUUCCUGGUGCAUCUUUGCCAAACCGCGCGCCAUACAGGACAAAUCUAGAGGAAACAAAAGAGAUCCAGUGGCAAGUGCAAGAACUCCUCGACAAAGGUUAUGGAAUUGAGGUUGAUCAAGCCAAGGUAGAAGCUAUACAGGGAUGGCCUGUACCAAAGACAAUCACCCAUGCGCGGAGUUUCUUAGGACUUGCUGGGUUUUAUCGCCGUUUUAUGAAGGAUUUCAGCACCAUUGCUGCACCAUUGAAUGAGCUUACAAAGAAGGGAGUGCCUUUUGUGUGGAGCAAAGUACAAGAGAAUUCCUUCAACAUGUUAAAAGAUAAGUUAACACAUGCACCUCUCCUACAGCUUCCUGAUUUUAAUAAGACUUUUGAGCUUGAGUGUGAUGCUAGUGGGAUUGGUUUGGGAGGUGUUUUGCUACAAGAGGGUAAACCUGUUGCAUAUUUUAGUGAGAAAUUGAGUGGGCCUGUUCUGAACUAUUCGUAUGCUCUUGUCCGAACUUUAGAAACAUGGCAACAUUAUUUGUGGCCCAAAGAGUUUGUUAUUCAUUCUGAUCAUGAAUCUUUAAAACAUAUUCGUAGUCAAGGAAAACUAAAUCGCAGACAUGCUAAGUGGGUAGAAUUUAUUGAAUCCUUUCCUUAUGUUAUUAAGCACAAGAAAGGGAAGGAGAAUAUCAUUGCUGAUGCUUUGUCAAGGAGAUAUACUUUGCUAAAUCAACUUGAUUACAAGAUUUUUGGAUUAGAAACGAUCAAAGACCAAUAUGUUCAUGAUGCUGAUUUUAAUGAAGUGUUGCUGCGUUGUAAAGAUGGAAAAGGAUGGAUCAAAUUCAUCGUUAGUGAUGGGUUUGUGUUUAGAGCUAACAAGCUAUGCAUUCCAGCUAGCUCUGUUCGUUUGUUGUUGUUACAGAAAGCUCAUGGAGGAGGUUUGAUGGGACAUUUUGGAGCAAAGAAGACGGAGGACAUACUUGCUGAUUUGAAACCAUAUUUGGGUGAGGAACAUGAGCUUGAGUCGAGGACGACUCAAAUCCAAGAAAGGGAGGAUGAUGAGGACAUCAACAUCAUCGAUAUAUCCGCACCUACACCAGUUGGUCCUCUUACUCAUGCUCGUACCCGUCAACUCAACCUUCAAGUAAGUUCAGUUUUAAACUCUUGUCAAUCAUAUUUAGACAAUGGAGACACGUGCACUUUCGUGUUGCUCAGGAAUAAUGGACAAGAUCAGCAAGGGAAGGUUCAACUGCAUUUGGAAUUUGAGCCAACACCAACUUCAAGGGCUGAUUGCAUAUGGGAAGAGUGAUAACUUAACAAAGGUGAUUGGAGAUCAGGUCCAAGCCUCCACAACAUCCUCUAUCAAGUUACCACGUCGCUUCUAAAGCAAGGAAACAAAGAGUCCAAACCCAACAUGUUUUGGGAGUUGGAUUCGGACUGGAAAAUAACUCUAACUUGUAUGGAUCACCACGGCGUCAUAUGGACUCCAACUGGGACGUUCCUAUACUUGUUGGAAAGCUCAUGAAGUCUACUUUCCAAUGGGUCCAACCACAUAUCUAUGCACCUUAUGAGUCGGGCGCAGUCCUUGUUUUUGUGCCGACACCUUUUUCUGUUUUGGUGCUGCGUCACCCUAUUUUGGACCAAUGGCCCAUGUAUCAAGUUGAGUCCAUUAGGGACGCGUCCUACGGUUGGAGGACGACUCUAGCACCCCUUUGGUCGUCCUCCCCUCUAUUUAUUUACAUCUAGAGCCGCCAUGAACAACUGGGUUUUGAUUAGAUAAAGUUUAUCCUUCGCUACUUGCUUGUAAACGCGCGUGCUGAUCCAGCCGCCCGUCUUCUUGUUUUUGAAACCCCACUUCAUUAGAGAUUGAGUUUGAAACCUUCAUUUACAUCUAGUAAUUUAGUACUUGUUCUACUUGUUCUUGCUGGUUCUUCGAUUGCUUGCAGGACGAGUGCCCUAGUGGCCAGGUGUUGCGCUCCACAAGAUCGUGACAGCCAUUGGAGGCGGUGUAUCGGUUGCUAAGGCGCGGCCUUAGAAGGCUGUAGUCGGGCCGUGAACGUCAUCUCCAUUCACUAAUCGAGUUAUCCAGCGCCUCUCAUCGAAAGAUCAGGCGAAAACCCUAGUGGGUUCACAUCAUCUUCCACCGAAACUAACAUUGUCUCCAAACAGACCGAAGCGAGAUUCCAUAUGAUACACGUCAUCUAGGAGUUCCAUUGGGUGCGUCCAAAUUGAUUUCUUAACAUAUUGUACGUUCCAUGCAAACUGUGCAACUAUCUUGCAUCAAGAUUAGCACUAUAUCUGAACAGACCAAAUCGAGCCUCCACUUGAGCCUCUUCAACUACGAGUACCAUCGGGUGCGUCUAAAAUGGUUUCUUAGCCUAUGGUGGAUUAGGCGUAAACCGUGCACAUAUCUUCUACCAAAACUAACUGUCUCUAAACGAACCGAAGCAAGAUUCUAUAUGACACACAUCAUCAAUGAGUUAUAUUAGGUGCGUCCUAAUUGAUUUCUGAGCAUAUCAUAUGUUCCAUGCAAACGUGUAUCUAUCUUGAUGCGAACCCGCUAGGGUUUUUGGCCUGAUCUUUUGAUGAGAGGCGCUGGAUAACUCGAUUAGUGGAUGGAGAUGACGUUCACGGCCCGACUACAGCCCUCAAGACCGCGCCUUAGCAACCGAUACACCACGUCCAACAGCCGUCACGAUCUUGUGGAGCGCGACAACCAGCCCCUAGGGCUCCCGUGCUGCAAGCAAUCGAAGAACUAGCAAGAACGAGGAAACAAGCACUGAAUUUGCAAGAUGAAUUGAAGGUUUCAAACUGAAUCUGAAUCAACAAUGGGGUUCCGAAGACAAGGAGACGGGCGGCUGAUCCUGCACGCGCGCCUACAAGCAAGUAGCGAAGGCUAAACUUGAUCUAAACAAAACCCAGUUGUUCAUGGCGGCUCUAGAUGUAAAUAAAUAGAAGGGAGGACGACCAAAGGGGUGCUAGAGUCGUCCUCCAACCCUAGGACGCGUCCCUAAUGGACUCAACUUGAUACAUGGGCCAUUGGUCCAAAAUAGGGUGACGCAGCACCAAAACAGAAAAAGGUGUCGGCACGAAAACAAGGACUGCGCCCGACUCAUAAGCUGCAUAGAUAUGUGGUUGGACCCAUUGGAAAGUAGACUUCAUGAGCUUUCCAACAAGUAUAGGAACGUCCCAGUUGGAGUCCAUAUGACGCCGUGGUGAUCCAUACAAGUUAGAGUUAUUUUCCAGUCCGAAUCCAACUCCCAAAACGUGUUGGGUUUGGACUCUUUGUUUCCUUGCUUUAGAAACGACGUGGUAACUUGACAGAGAAUGUUGUGGAGGCUUGGACCUGAUCUCCAAUCACCUUUGUUAAGUUAUCACUCUUCCCAUAUGCAAUCAGCCCUUGAAGUUGGUGUUGCCUCAAAUUCUGAAUGCAGUUGAACCUUCCCUUGCUGAUCUUGUCCAUUAUUCCUGAGCAACACCAAAGUGCACGUGUCUCCAUUGUCUAAAUAUGAUUGACAAGAGUUUAAAGCUGAACUUACUUGAAGGUUGAGUUGACGGGCACGAGCACGAGUAAGAGGACCAGCUAUAGGUUGUGUCGGAGACGAUGUAGGAUAUGUAUCGCUGGUGGAUGUAGGAUAUGUAUCGCUGGUGGAUGUAGGAUAUGUAUCGCUAGUGUUGAUGUCCUCAUCAUAUCUUACAUCAAGAUUAGCACUAUCUCCAAACAGACCAAACCGAGCUUUCUCUUGAGCCCCUUGACCUAGGAGUACCAUCGGGUGCGUCCAAAAUGAUUUCUUAUCCUAUGGUUCAUUAGGUGCAAACCAUGCACCUAACUUGCACCGAAACUAACACUAUCUCUAAACGGACCGAGGUGAGAUUCCAUAUGACACAUGUCAUCUAGGACUUCCUUAUGGUGCGUCCAAAUUGAUUUCUGAGCAUAUGGUAUGUUCCAUGCAAACUGUGCACCUAUCUUGCAUCAAGAUUAGCACUAUCUCCAUACAGACCGAACCGAACAUCCACUUGAGCCCCUUCACCUAGGAUUACCAACAAGUGCGUCCAAAAUGGUUUCUUAGACUAUGGUGCAUUAGGCGCAAACCAUGCACAUAUCUUGCACCGAAACUAACACUGUUUGUAAACAGACCAAAGCGAGAUUCCAUAUGACACACAUCAUCAAGGAGUUAUAUAAGGUGUGUCCUAAUUGAUUUCUAAGCAUAUCGUAUGUUCCAUGCAAACCGUGUAUCUAUCUUGCAUCAAGAUAAGCACUAUCUCCAAAUAGACCAAACCAAGCCUUGACUUAAGCCCCUUGACCUAGGAGUACCAUCGCGUGCGUCCAAAAUGGUUUCUUGUCCUAUGGUGCAUUAGGUGCAAACCGUGCACCUAUCUUGCACCGAAACUAACACUGUCUCUAAACGGACCGAGGUGAGAUUCCAUAUGACACACGUCAUCUAGGAGUUCCAUCUGGUGCGUCCAAAUUGAUUUCUGAGCAUAUGGUAUGUUCCAAGCAAACCGUGCACCUAUCUUGCAUCAAGAUUAGGACUAUCUCUAAAUAGACCGAACCGAGCCUCCACUUGAGCCUCUAAAUAGAACGAACCGAGCCUCCACUUGAGCCUCUUCACCUAGGUGUACCAAUAGGUGCUUCCAAAAUGGUUUCUUAGACUUUAGUGCAUUAGGCGCAAACCAUGCACAUAUCUUGCACCAAAACUAAUACUGUCUCUAAGCACACCAAAGCGAGAUUCCAUAUGACACAUGUCAUCAAGGAGUUCUAUCGGGUGUGUCCAAAUUAAUUUCUAAGCAUAUGGUACGUUCCAUGCAGACCAUGCAUCUAUCUUGAAUCAAGAUUAGCACUAUCUCCAAAUAGACCAAACCGAGCUUGCACUUGAGCCUUUUACUUAGGAGUACCAUCAGGUGCGUCCAAAAUGGUUUCUUAUCCUAUGGUGCAUUAGGUACAAACCGUGCACCUAUCUUGCACCGAAACUAACACUAUCUCUAAACGGACCGAAGUGAGAUUCCAUAUGACACAUGUCAUCUAGUAGUUCCAUCUGGUGCGUCCAAAUUGAUUUCUGAGCAUAUGGUAUGUUCCAUGCAAAUCGUGCACCUAUCUUGCAUCAAGAUUAGCACUGUCUCUAAAAAGGCUAAACCAAGCCUCCACUUGAGCCUCUUCACCUAGGAGUACCAACAUGUGCUUCCAAAAUGGUUUCUUAGACUUUGGUGCAUUAGGCGCAAACCAUGCACAUAUCUUGGACUGAAACUAAGCUAUCUCUAAGCACACCAAAGCAAGAUUCCAUAUGACACACGUCAUCAAGGUGUUCUAUCGGGUGUGUCCAAAUUAAUUUCUAAGCAUAUGGUAUGUUCUAUGCAAACCAAGCAUCUAUCUUGCAUCAAGAUUAGCACUAUCUCCAAAUAGACCAAACCGAGCUUUCACUUGAGCCUUUUACCUAGGAGUACCAUCGGGUGCGUCCAAAAUGAUUUCUUAGCCUAUGCUGCAUUAUGUGGAAAUCUUGCACCUAUCUUGCACCAAAACUAACACUAUCUCCAAAUAGACCGAAGCAAGAUUUCUUAUGACACACGUCAUCUAGGAGUUCCAUCAUGUGCGUCCAGAUUGAUCUCCAAGCAUUUGGUAUGUUCCAUGCAAACCGUGCACCUAUCUUGCAUCAAGAUUAGCACUAUCUCUAAACAGACCGAACCGAGCAUCCACUUGAGCCCAUUCACCCAGGAGUACCAACAAGUGCGUCCAAAAUGGUUUCUUAGACCAUGGUGCUUUAGGCGCAAACUGUGCACCUAUCUUGCACUAAAACUUACAAUGUCUACAAACGGACCGAAGCAAGAUUCCAUAUGACACACGUCAUCUAGGAGUUCCAUUGGGUGCGUCCAAAUUGAUUUCUAAGCAUAUGGUAUGUUGCUUCCAAAUCAUGCACCUGUCUUGCAUCAAGAUUAGCACUAUCUCCAAACAGAUCAAACCGUGCUUCCAAUUGAGCCUCUUCACCGAAGUACCUACAGGUGCUUCCAAAAUGGUUUCUUAGACUAUGGUGCAUUAGGCACAAACCAUGCACAUAUCUUGCACCGAAACUAACACUAUUUCUAAACAGACCGUAGCAAGAUUCCAUUUGACACACGUCGUAAAGGAGUUCCAUCGAGUGCAUCCAAAUUGAUUUCCAAGCAUAUGGUAUGUUCUAUGCAAACCGUUCACCUAUCUUGCAUUAAGAUUAGCACUAUCUCCAAACAGACCGAACCGAGCAUCCACUUGAGCCUCUUCAUCUAGGAGUACAAACAGGUGCGUCAAAAUGGUUUCUUAGACUAUGGUGCAUUAGGCACAAACUAUGCACCUAUCUUGCACUGAAACUAACAUUGUCUCCAAACAGACCGAAGCGAGAUUCCAUAUGACACACAUCAUCUAGGAGUUCUAUUGGGAGCGUCGAACUUGAUUUCUUAACAUAUGGUACGUUCCAUGCAAACUGUGCAACUAUCUUGCAUCAAGAUUAGCACUAUAUCUAAACAGACCAAAUCGAGCCUCCACUUGAGCCUCUUCAACCAUGAAUACCAUCGGAUGUGUCUAAAAUGGUUUCUUAGCCUAUGGUGCAUUAGGCGUAAACCGUGCACAUAUCUUCUACCAAAACUAACACUGUCUCUAAACAAACCAAAGCAAGAUAUCAUAUGACACACAUCAUCAAGGAGUUAUAUCAGGUGCGUCCUAAUUGAUUUCUGAUCAUAUCAUACGUUCCAUGCAAACCGUGCAUCUAUCUUGCAUGAGGAUUAGCACUAUCUUGCACCAAAACUAACACUGUCUCCAAACAGACCGAAGCAAGAUUUCGUAUGACACACGUCAUCUAGGAGUUCCAUCAUGUGUGUCCAGAUUGAUUUCCAAGCAUUUGGUAUGUUCCAUGCAAACCGUGCACCUAUCUUGCAUCAAGAUUCGCACUAUCUCCAAACAGACUGAACCAAGCAUCCACUUGAGCCACUUCACCUAGGAGUACCAACAAGUGCGUCCAAAAUGGUUUCUUAGACUAUGGUGCAUUUGGUGCAAACUGUGCACCAAUCUUGCACUAAAACUAACAAUGUCUCCAAAUGGACCGAAGCGAGAUUCCAUAUGACACACGUAAUCAAGGAGUUCCAUCGGGUGCAUCCAAAUUGAUUUCCAAGCAUAUGGUAUGUUCCAUGCAAACCAUGCACCUACCUUGCUUAAGGAUUAGCACUAUCUCCAAACUGACCAAACCAAGCUUCCACUUGAGCCUCUUCACCCAGGAGUACCAAAUAGUGCGUCCAAAAUGGUUUCUUAGAAUAUGGUGCAUUAGGCGCAAACUAUGCACCUAUCUUGCACUCAAACCUAUAAUGUCUACAAACAGAACGAAGCAAGAUUUCUUAUGAUACACAUCAUCUAGGAGUUCCAUUGGGUGCGUCUAAAUUGAUUUCUAAGCAUAUGGUAUGUUCCUUGCAAAUCAUGCACCUAUCUUGCAUCAAGAUUAGCACUAUCUCCAAACAGAUCAAACCGAGCUUCCACCUGAGCCUCAUCACCGAAGUACCAACAGGUGCUUCCAAAAUGGUUUCUUAGACUAUAGUGCAUUAGGCACAAACCAUGCACAUAUCUUGCACUGAAACUAACACUGUUUCUAAUCAGACCAAAGCGAGAUUCCAUAUGACACGCGUCAUCAAGGAGUUCCAUUGGGUGCAUCCAAAGUGAUUUCCAAGCAUAUGGUAUGUUCCAUGCAAAUCGUGCACCUAUCUUGCAUCAAGAUUAGCACUAUCUCCAAACAGGCCGAACCGAGCUUCCACUUGAGCCUCUUCAUCUAGGAGUAUAAACAGGUGCGUCAAAAAUGGUUUUUUAGACUGUGGUGCAUUAGGCACAAACUAUGCACCUAUCUUGCACCAAAACUAACAUUGUCUCCAAACAGACCGAAGUGAGAUUCCAUAUGACACACGUCAUCUAGGAGUUCCAUUGGGUGCGUCCAAAUUGAUUUCUUAAUAUAUGGUACGUUCCAUACAAAAUGUGCAACUAUCUUGCAUCAAGAUUGUCAAUAUAUCCGAACAGACCAAAUGGAGCCUCAACUUGAGCCUCUUCAACUACGAGUACCAUCGGGUGCGUCCAAAAUGGUUUCUUAGACUAGGGUGCAAUAGGCGCAAACCAUGCGCAUAUCUUGCACUGAAACUAACACUGUUUCUAAACAGACCAAAGCGAGAUUCCAUAUGACACACAUCAUCAAGGAGUUAUAUAUUAGGUGCGUCCUAAUUGAUUUGUGAGCAUAUCAUAUGUUCCAUGCAAACCGUGUAUCUAUCUUACAUCAAGAUUAGCACUAUCUCUAAACAGACCAAACCGAGCUUUCUUUUGAGCCCCUUGACCUAGGAGUACCAUCGGGUGCGUCCAAAAUGAUUUGUUAUCCUAUGGUGCAUUAGGUGCAAACCAUGCACCUAACUUGCACCGAAACUAACACUAUCUCUAAACGGACCGAGAUGUGAUUCCAUAUGACACAUGUCAUCUAGGACUUCCUUAUGGUGCGUCCAAAUUGAUUUCUGAGCAUAUGGUAUGUUCCAUGCAAACCGUGCACCUAUCUUGCAUCAAGAUUAGCACUAUCUACAAACAGACCGAACCGAGCAUCCACUUGAGCCCCUUCACCUAGGCUUACCAACAAGUGCGUCCAAAAUGGUUUCUUAGACUAUGGUGCAUUAGGCGCAAACCAUGCACAUUGUUGCACCGAAACUAACACUGUUUCUAAACAGACCAAAGCGAGAUUCCAUAUGACACACAUCAUCAAGGAGUUAUAUCAGGUGUGUCCUAAUUGAUUUCUGAGCAUAUCGUAAGUUCCAUGCAAACCGUGCAUCUAUCUUGCAUCAAGAUAAGCACUAUCUCCAAACAGACCAAACUGAGCUUUGACUUGAGCCCCUAGACCUAGGAGUACCAUCGGGUGCGUCCAAAAUGGUUUCUUAUCCUAUGGUGCAUUAGGUGCAAACCGUGCACCUAUCUUGCAACGAAACUAAUACUGUCUCUAAGCACACCAAAGCGAGAUUCCAUAUGACACAUGUCAUCAAGGAGUUCUAUCGGGUGUGUCCAAAUUAAUUUCUAAGCAUAUGAUACGUUCCAUGCAGGUCGUGCAUCUAUCUUGCAUCAAGAUUAGCACUAUCUCCAAAUAGACCAAACCGAGCUUUCACUUGAGCGUUUUACAUAGGAGUACCAUCGGGUGCGUCCAAAUUGGUUUCUUAGACUAUGAUGCAUUAGGUGCAAACUGUGCACCUAUCUUGCACCGAAACUAACAAUAUCUCCAAAUAGACCGAAGCAAGAUUUCGUAUGACACACGUCAUCUACGAGUUCCAUCAUGUGCGUCCAGUUUGAUUUCCAAGCUUUUGGUAUGUUCCAUGCAAACCGCGCACCUAUCUUGCAUCAAGAUUAGCACUAUCUCCAAACAGACCGAACCGAGCAUCCACUUGAGCCCAUUGACCCAGGAGUACCAACAAGUGCGUCCAAAAUGGUUUCUUAGACUAUGGAGCAAUAGGUGCAAACUGUGCACCUAUCUUGCACCGAAACUAACAAUGUCUCCAAAUGGACCAAAGCGAGAUUCCAUAUGACACACGUCAUCAAGGAGUUCCAUCGGGUGCAUCCAAAUUGAUAUCCAAGCAUAUGGUAUGUUCCAUGCAAACCAUGCACCUACCUUGCAUAAGGAUUAGCACUAUCUCCAAACUGACCAAAGAAAACUUCCACUUGAGCCUCUUCACCCAUGAGUACCAAAUAGUGCGUCCAAAAUGGUUUCUUAGACUAUGGUGCAUUAGGCGCAAACUGUGCACCUAUCUUGCACUAAAACUUACAAUGUCUACAAACGGACCAAAGCAAUAUUCCAUAUGACACACGUCAUCUAGGAGUUCCAUUGGGUGCGUCAAAAUUGAUUUCUAAGCAUAUGGUAUGUUGCUUGCAAAUCAUGCACCUGUCUUGCAUCAAGAUUAGCACUAUCUCCAAACAGAUCAAACCGUGCUUCCACUUGAGCCUCUUCACCGAAGUACCUACAGGUGCUUCCAAAAUGGUUUCUUAGACUAUGGUGCAUUAGGCACAAACCAUGCACAUAUCUUGCACCGAAACUUACACUGUUUCUAAACAGACCAUAGCGAGAUUCCAUUUGACACACGUCAUCAAGGAGUUCCAUCGAGUGCAUCCAAAUUGAUUUCCAAUCAUAUGGUAUGUUCCAUGCAAAUCGUGCACCUAUCUUGCAUCAAGAUUAGCACUAUCUCUAAACAGGCCGAACCGAGCCUCCACUUGAGCCUCUUCACCUAGGAGUACCAACAGGUGCUUCCAAAAUGGUUUCUUAGACUUUGGUGCACUAGGCGCAAACCGUGCACAUAUCUUGCACUGAAACUAAUCUAUCUCUAAGCACACCAAAGCAAGAUUUCGUAUCACACACGUCUUCAAGGAGUUCCAUCGGGUGCAUCCAAACUGAUUUCCAAGCAUAUGGUAUGUUCCAUGCAAACCGUGCACUUAUCUUGCAUCAAGAUUAGCACUAUCUCCAAACAGACCGAAGUGAGCUUACACUUGAGCCUCUUCAUCUAGGAGUACAAAUAGGUGCAUCAAAAAUGGUUUCUUAGACUAUGGUGCAUUAGGCGCAAACUAUGCACCUAUCUUGCACCGAAACUAACAUUGUCUUCAAACAGACCAAAGUGAGAUUCCAUAUGACACACGUCAUCUAGGAGUUCUAUUGGGAGCGUCCAAAUUGGUUUCUAAACAUAUGGUAUGUUCCAUGCAAACUGUGCAACUAUCUUGCAUCAAGAUUAGCACUAUAUCUGAACAGACCAAAUCGACCCUCCACUUGAGCCCUUCAACUACGAGUACCAUCGGGUGCGUCUAAAAUGGUUUCUUAGCCUAUGGUGCAUUAGGUGUAAACUGUGCACAUAUCUUCUACCAAAACUAACACUGCCUCUAAACAAACCGCAGCAAGAUUCCAUAUGACACACAUCAUCAAGGCGUUAUAUCAGGUGCGUCCUAAUUGAUUUCUAAACAUAUCGUAUGUUCCAUGCAAACUAUGCAUCUAUCUUGCAUCAAGAUUAGCACUAUCUCCGAACAGACCAAACCGAGCUUUCACUUGAGCCCCUUGACCUAGGUGUACCAUCGGGUGUGUCCAAAAUGGUUUCUUAUCCUAUGGUGCAUUAGGUGCAAACUUUGCACCUAUCUUGCACCAAAACUAACACUGUCUCUGAACGGACCGAAGUGAGAUUCCAUAUGACACAUGUCAUCUAGGAGUUCUAUCUGUUGCGUCCAAAUUGAUUUUUGAGCAUAUGGUAUGUUCCAUGCAAACCGUGCACCUAUCUUGCAUCAAGAUUAGCACUAUCUCUAAACAGACCGAACCGAGCCUCCACUUGAGCCUCUUCACCUAGGAAUACCAACAGGUGCUUCCAAAAUGGUUUCUUAGACUUUGGUGCAUUAGGCGCAAACCGUGCACAUAUCUUGCACCGAAACUAAUACUGUCUCUAAGCACACCAAAGCGAGAUUUCAUAUGACACACGUCAUCAAGGAGUUCUAUCGGGUGUGUCCAAAUUAAUUUCUAAGCAUAUGGUACAUUCGUUGCAGACCAUGCAUCUAUCUUGCAUCAAGAUUACCACUAUCUCCAAAUAGAGCAAAAUGAGCUUUCACUUGAGCCUUUUACCUAGGAGUACCAUCGGGUGCGUUCAAUAUGGUAUCUUAGCCUAUGCUGCAUUAUGUGCAAACCUUGCACCUAUCUUGCACCGAAACUAACACUGUCUCCAAACAGACCGAAGCAAGAUUUCGUAUGGCACACGUCAUCUAAGAGUUCCAUUAGGUGCGUCCAAAUUGAUUUCUUAACAUAUGGUACGUUCCGUGCAAACUGUGCAACUAUCUUGCAUCAAGAUUAGCACUAUAUCCGAACAUACCAAAUCGAGCCUCCACUUGAGCCUCUUCAACUACGAGUACCAUCGGGUGCGUCUAAAAUUGUUUCUUAGCCUAUGGUGCAUUAGGCGUAAACCGUGCACAUAUCUUAUACCAAAACUAACAAUGUCUCUAAACGAACCGAAGCAAGAUUCCAUAUGACACACAUGAUCAAGGAGUUAUAUCAAGUGCGUCCUAAUUGAUUUAUGAGCAUAUCAUAUGUUCCAUUCAAACCGUGCAUCUAUCUUGCAUCAAGAUUAGCACUAUCUCCAAAAAGAACAAACAGAGCUUUCACUUGAGCCCCUCGACCUAGGAGUACCAUCGGGUGCGUCCAAAAUGGUUUCUUAUCUUAUGGUGCAUUAGGUGCAAACAGUGCACCUAUCUUGCACCGAAACUAACGCUGCCUCUAAACGGACCGAAGUGAGAUUCCAUAUGACACAUGUCAUCUAGGAGUUCCAUCUGGUGCAUCCAAAUUGAUUUCUGAGCAUAUGGUAUGUUCCAUGCAAAUCGUGCACCUAUCUUGCAUCAAGAUUAGCACUAUCUCCAAACAGACCGAAACGAGCUUCCACUUGAGCCUCUUCACCUAGGAGUACCAACAGGUGCUUCCAAAAUGGUUUUUUAGACUUUGGUGCAUUAGGCACAAACCGUGCACAUAUCUUGCACCGAAACUAAUACUAUCUCUAAGCACACCAAAGCGAGAUUCCAUAUGACACACGUUAUCAAGGAGUUCUAUCGGGUGUGUCCAAAUUAAUUUCUAAGCAUAUGGUACGUUCUAUGCAGAGCGUGCAUCUAUGUCGCAUCAAGAUUAGCACUAUCUCCAAACUGAUCAAACCGAGCUUCCACUUGAGCCUCUUCACCGAAGUACCAACAGGUGCUUCCAAAAUGGUUUCUUAGACUAUGGUGCAUUAGGCGCAAACCAUGCACAUAUCUUGCACCGAAACUAACACCAUUUCUAAAUAGACCAAAGCGAGAUUCCAUAUUACACAUGUCAUUAAGGAGUUCCAUCUAGUGCAUCCAAAUUGAUUUCCAAGCAUAUGGUAUGUUCUAUGCAAACCGUGCACCUAUCUUGCAUCAAGAUUAGCACUAUCUCUAAACAGACCGAACCGAGCCUCCACUUGAGCCUCUUCACCUAGGAGUACCAACAGGUGCUUCCAAAAUGGUUUCUUAGACUUAGGUGCAUUAAGCGCAAACUGUACACAUAUAUUGCACCGAAACUAAUACUGUCUCUAAGCACACCAAAGCGAGAUUCCAUAUGACACACGUCAUCAAGGAGUUCUAUCGGGUGUGUCCAAAUUAAUUUCUAAGCAUAUGGACGUUCCAUGCAGACUGUGCAUCUAUCUUACAUCAAGAUUAGCACUAUCUCCAAAUAGACCAAACCGAGCUUUCACUUGAGCCUUUUACCUAGAAGUACCAUCGGGUGCGUCCAAAAUAGUUUCUUAGCCUACGCUGCAUUAUGUACAAACCUUGCAUCUAUCUUGCACUAAAACUAACACUGUCUCCAAACAGACCACAACAAGAUUUUGUAUGACACACGUCAUCUAGGAGAUCCAUCAAGUGCGUCCAGAUUGAUUUCCAAGCAUUUGGUAUGUUCCAUGCAAACCGUGCACCUAUCUUGCACCAAAACUAACAAUGUCUCCAAAUGGACCGAAGCGAGAUUCCAUAUGACACACGUCAUCAAGGAGUUAAAUCGGGUGCAUCCAAAAUGAUUUCUAAGCAUAUGGUAUGAUCUAUGCAAACCAUUCCAAAAUUUUUUCUUAGCCUAUGCUGCAUUAUGUGCAAACCUUGCACCUAUCUUGCACCGAAACUAACACUGUCUCCAAAUAGACCGAAGCAAGAUUUCGUAUGACCCACGUCAUCUAUGAAUUCCGUCAUGUGCGUCCAGAUUGAUUUCCAAGCAUUUGGUAUGUUCCAUGCAAACCAUUCAUCUAUCUUGCAUAAAGAUUAGCACUAUCUCCAAACAGACUGAACCGAGCAUCCACUUGAGCCCCUUCACCUAGGAGUACCAACAAGUGCGUCCAAAACGGUUUCUUAGACUAUGGUGCAUUAGGUGCAAACUGUGCACCUAUCUUGCGCUAAAACUAACAAUGUCUCCAAAUGGACCGAAGCGAGAUUCCAUAUGACACACGUCAUCAAGGAGUUCCAUUGGGUGCAUCCAAAUUGAUUUCCAAGCAUAUGGUAUGUUCCAUGCAAACCAUGCACCUACCUUGCUUAAGGAUUAGCACUAUCUCCAAAUUGACCGAACUGAGCUUCCACUUGAGCCUCUUCACCCAGGAGUACCAAAUAGUGUGUCCAAAAUGGUUUCUUAGACUAUGGUGCAUUAGGUGCAAACUAUGCACCUAUCUUGCACUAAAACUUAUAAUGUCUACAAAUGGACCGAAGCAAGAUUCCAUAUGACACACGUCAUCUAGGAGUUCCGUUGGGUGCGUCUAAAUUGAUUUCUAAGCAUAUGGUAUGUUCCUUGCAAAUCAUGCACCUAUCUUGCAUAGCACUAUCUCCAAAUAGAUCAAACCGAGCUUCCACUUGAGCCUCUUCAUCUAGGAGUACAAACAGGUGCGUCAAAAAAGGUUUCUUAGACUAUGGUGCAUUAGGCACAAACUAUGCACCUAUGUUGCACCAAAACUAACAUUGUCUCCAAACAGACCGAAGCGUGAUUCCAUAUGACACACGUCAUCUAGAAGUUCCAUUGGGUGCAUCCAAUUAAUUUCUUAACAUAUGGUACGUUCCAUGCAAACUAUGCAACUAUCUUGCAUCAAGAUUAGCACUAUAUCUGAACAGACCAAAUCGACCCUCCACUUGAGCCCUUCAACUACGAGUACCAUCGGGUGCGUCUAAAAUGGUUUCUUAGCCUAUGGUGCAUUAGGCGUAAACCAUGCACAUAUCUUCUACCAAAACUAACACUGUCUCUAAACGAACCGAAGCAAUAUUCCAUAUGACACACAUCAUCAAGGAGUUAUAUCAGGUGCGUCCUAAUUGAUUUCUGAGCAUAUCGUAUGUUACAUGCAAACCGUGCAUCUAUCUUGCAUCAAGAUUAGCAUUUUCUCCAAACAGACCAAACCGAGGUUUCACUUGAGCCCCUUGACCUAGGAGUACCAUCGGGUGCGUCCAAAAUGGUUUCUUAUCCUAUGGUGCAUUAGGUGCAAACCGUGCACCUAUCUUCCACCGAAACUAACACUGUCUCUAAAUGGACCGAAGUGAGAUUCCAUAUGACACAUGUCAUCUUGGAGUUCCAUCUAGUGCGUCCAAAUUGAUUUCUGAGCAUAUGAUAUGUUCCAUGCAAAUUGUGCACCUAUCUUGCAUCAAGAUUAGCACUAUCUCUAAACAGACCGAACCAAACCUCCACUUGGGCCUCUUCACCUCGGAGUACCAACAGUGCUUCCAAAAUGGUUUUUAGACUUUGGUGCAUUAGGCGCAAACUGUGCACAUAUCUUGCUCUGAAACUAAUCCUGUCUCUAAGCACACCAAAGCAAGAUUCCAUAUGACACACGUCAUCAAGGAGUUCUAUCGGGUGUGUCCAAAUUAAUUUCUAAGCAUAUGGUACGUUCCAUGCAAACCGUGCAUCUAUCUUGCAUCAAGAUUAGCACUAUCUCCAAAUAGACCGAACCAAGCAUCCACUUGAGCCCCUUCACCUAGGAGUACCAACAAGUGCGUCCAAAAUGGUUUCUUAGACUAUGGUGCAUUAGGUGCAAACUGUGCACCUAUCUUGCACCGAAACUAGCAAUGUCUCCAAAUGGUCCGAAGCGAGAUUCCAUAUGACACACGUAAUCAAGGAGUUCCAUCGGGUGCAUCCAAAUUGAUUUCCAAGCAUAUGGUAUGUUCCAUGCAAACCAUGCACCUACCUUGCAUAAGGAUUAGGACUAUAUGCAAACUGACCAAACCAAGCUUCUACCAGAGCCUCUUCACCUAGGAGUACCAAAUAGUGCGUCCAAAAUGGUUUCUUAGGUUAUGGUGCAUUAGGCGCAAACUAUGCACCUAUCUUGCACUAAAACUUAUAAUGUCUACAAACGGACCGAAGCAAGAUUUCAUAUGACACACGUCAUCUAGGAGUUCCAUUGGGUGCGUCCAAUUUGAUUUCUAAGCAUAUGGUAUGUUCCUUGCGAAUCAUGCACCUAUCUUGCAUCAAGAUUAGCACUAUCUCCAAACAGAAAAACCGAGCUUCCACUUGAGCCUCUUCACCGAAGUAGCAACAAGUGCUUCCAAAAUGGUUUCUUAGAAUCAAUAUGAAAAACAGCCCCUUUUUUUCUUUUGAAUCUUUUCUCUUUUCUUUUUUUGUUUUUCUUCUUUUUUUUUUCUUUUUUUUGGGCAACCUCAAAAACUGAUUAUAUGAACAAAUGAAUACAAAAGAGCAAUUCGCUACACACACUUUUUCCGAAAGUACAGGGGUAUUCCGAAACUAACAUUGUCUCCAAACAGACUGAAGUGAGAUUCCAUAUGACACACGUCAUCUAAGAGUUCCAUUGGGUGCGUCCAAAUUGAUUUCUUAAGAUAUGGUACGUUCAAUCCAAACUAUGCAACUAUCUUGCAUCACGAUUAGCACUAUAUCCGAACAGACCAAAUCAAGCCUCCACUUAAGCCUCUUCAACUACGAGUACCAUCGGGUGCGCCUAAAAUGGUUUCUUAGCCUAUGGUGCAUUAGGCGUAAACCGUGCACAUAUCUUCUACCAAAACUAACACUGUCUCUAAACGAACCGAAGCAAGGUUCCAUAUGACACACAUCAUCAAGAAGUUAUAUUAGGUGCGUCCUAAUUGAUUUCUGAGCAUAUCGUACAUUUCAUGCAAACCGUGCAUCUAUCUUACAUUAAGAUUAGCACUAUCUCCAAACAGAAGCAAAAUCUGUAAACUCACUAGUAGCAGCCCUAACACGUGUAGUCUCAGGAAAUUCAUGACAUGCAAACUUUUGAUCAACAGCAAUCUCCCAAGUGAUGUAAGCAUCAGGGUCAUAUUUACCAUCAAAAGGGGGUAUCUUAAAUUUAAUCUUACUGAAAGCAUCAUCAUUAUUGUGUACCUCGCGUCGGCGGUUGCCACCCAUACCUCUACGGUUGUGACGAAGGCGACGUCGAUCACGAGUGUCUUGAUCAUCAUGUUCAGUAUCACCAGUGUAGUCAUCUUCAUGACUACCGUGCUCUCGAUCUCCCUCCUUUUCUUCUUUAUUCUUCUCUUUAUCUUCGGUGUGGAAAGCAUCAAAUCGCCUUAGGAGAGCAGCAAGGCUUUUGUCCACACUAGCAACGGAUUCCUCCAAACUUGUGAGCUUGUUGUUUGUGGCAAUCUGCGUAGCCUCCAACUGUCCCAGCUUUUCAUUUGUCACCUGCAAGUCGUUAUCAAGUCCCUCUGUGUGCAGCUUCACUUUCCUUUCAAAAUGUUGUAUGAUGCCCUUAGUGCGAGGUGUAUGUGGUGUUUCGUUACCAUCAUCUGCCCCUGGCAUGGUUCAAAGACAAAGACAACAAAAAGGCAAGUGAAGAAAUAAAAGCCCUACAACUACUAGGAUGUAGCUACAGCAAGUCGCUCACACUCAACCUGUAACACAAGUUCUGUUGACACCAUUUUUGGGCACGUGUCCAGAAUGGCAGGACAGGGUGGCAGUACGAUACGGGUUGCUGGUAAGGAUGGUUGCCGAUGAGGGAAGGGUUGAAUGUGACUAAGUCCUCUGACAGUAACAUGGUACCGAUGACCAAGUAAAAGGGUCUGCCGAUGACUAUGGCAAGGGGAUUGCCGAUGGCGCGAAGGAGGAGUCCGGAAGUUGCCAGUUGUCAUGUGGAGGAGUUUCGGUUUGUCACGAAGGAUGGUUUUAUUAUUUCCUUAUGUUAUUCGUAUCGUUUUAUAUACGGGUUCCGUGUAAUUUGGAAUUCGAAUUCUAAUCGUGUCUGGUCGUAGCUCUUUGAGCAGGGUAUAAAUGUAAGCCCUAAGACCUUGUAAUCAGAUAUCAAGAAAUCAAUCAAACAUACGUUUUUACUCAUAUUCCAGCAUCUACUUUUCGACGACUUCGUCACCCUUUUUUUCUUCUUAUUACGAGUUCUUAGGAAUUCGUCGACUUAAGCUCGGCGUGUUCUCGAGUUCCGCGUGAGUACCUCUUAGCCGUGACAUCCGGGCGCAUCGCUGUUGUCAGGACUAAAGUAUUCGAGUUAUCACCUUUGCCGAUAGCAAGGUCAAAUCGGCUGGCACGCCUUAACGUUUGAAUCGGGUAUUAGCCCUUUGUGUUUGCAGAUCAAUUUUGCAUCAACACAUCUUUUGGCACGCCCAGUGGGACGGAUUCAAGAUCAAGAUCAACAUGUCGAUCUCUGACCUCGAUCAAGACAACGUCAUCCCCGUGACGGAAGCUAACCUCAAGGAUGAGCAGAAGCAAGCUAUUGCCCAAGCUAUGGAAGAGUUCAAGCAGCAAUGCCUGAAGUCUUUCAGCAUAAACAGGAGCGGCGAAGUGGUCCAGAAAGAUGCACUGCCGGCACCACGGCAGGUCACCUUUGACGCCAAUCCUGGCAAGCUUCAAGACAUGGUUGAUAAUGCCAUCAAUCGAGCGUUGAUUAACCAAGCUGGUGUACUAUCUAAUACGGUUUUCAACGCCGUGGCAAGAACCUUCAAGGAAGGACAAAUCCCGCCGGAUUAUGUGGGCCCUUCCCAUCAUCAACCCACGGCACCAGAGGUCACGGCUCCAUCGGCUGCCUUGACAAGUGCGAGUGCACAGUCUGCCGUUCCUCCGAGUACAUUGGGGACUACUGGUGCACUAUCUAUGCCGAUGGCAACCAACCCACAAAUUUCAGUUGGGCAGCAUAAACUGACAACAGAUAUGUUGGCAUCGGCAAUGUCGGGGUUAACUCUUCCUCCUAACUGGUGGGGUUAUGGUAUGCCUCCAGAGUUGACGCCGGGAACAUCACAGAUAACUGACAUGAGGGGCAAAACUCCUAUGACAUCGGCACCCUCCAAUGUGCCGGUGAACCAGAGUCCUCGGUAUACCACAACUACUACUGCAAGGCCUCACACUGGAAAUCCUCAAGAUUCAAUGUUCCAGAUGCCUAACGCAUCGGCAGAGUCAAUGCUGAUGCAACAGAGGCCUAUGGCGCAGUCAGGGUAUGUCAAUUCAACGACGGUACCCAAUUACCAAUCAUCGGCAGCACCUAUGCCGAUGAACGCUAAUAAUGGAUGGCUGGGACAGCAAGCCUUUCCACAGUCGCCCCAGCAGGUUUAUCAGACUACAGGGUUCCAGCAAGGGCAGGUGUAUCCCGGGUUCCAAGGUCAGGGAAUUCCCAACCAGCCAAUAAAUUUUGGACAGCAACUCGGAGGACAGCCAAUCGGUGGACAACAGUUUGGUAGUCCGCAGAUUGGAGGACAGGUGACCAAUACGAUGUUCCAUACAGGUCACGUCCCGAACAGACACGUGGAGGUUCGCCACCAAAUGCCAGAUCCGCAGCCGCCUCAUCGGCAAGAUGCCGAUGCGUAUUGGGCCGAUAAGAUUGCCGAAGUAAUGAGGGAACAAUUUGGGAUAAAACCCAAAGUCAACACUUAUUCUUAUCGGACACCGUAUCCUCCAGCGUAUGAUUUGAUCCCGCUUCCACAUCGUUACAAAGUACCGGAUUUUACAAAGUUUUCCGGACAGGACGACACGUCAACCAUGGAGCAUGUCAACAGGUUCAUUAUUCAAUGUGGAGAGGCUGGUAACAGGGACGAAUUGAGGGUUCGCCUAUUUUCAUCAUCAUUAUCUGGAUCGGCCUUUACUUGGUUCAUAUCAUUGCCUCCCAAUUCAGUAAUUACUUGGGCCGAUCUAGAGAAGCAAUUCCACAGAUACUUCUUCUCGGGGGUUCAUGAGAAGAAGAUCACCGACUUGGUCAAGCUGAGGCAACGUAAUGAUGAGUCGGUUGAGGGAUUUGUGCAGAGGAUACGAGAAGUCAAAAAUAAAUGCUAUAACCUGGUUCUGGAUGAUCGGCAGCUAGCCGAUUUGGCUUUUCAGGGUCUGUUGCCACACAUCAGGGAUAAGUAUGCCUCUCAGGAGUUCGAAAGUUUAAGUCACUUGGUGCAGAGGAUAUCUGAUCAAGACAUCAAGCCUUUCGAGCCUAAGAGGGCAUGGAAUAAGAAAGUCUCAUUUGUUGAUGAGGCAACAAGCUCAGAUUCCGAUGAAGAACCAGUAAUCGGUUUGGCAGAAUGGGUAAAAAACAAGAAGCCGAUGUCUUGUCCUUUUGGGCAGAAGGAACCAGAGAAGUUUGCAUUUGACACCACCAAGGCCGAUAGGAUAUUUGACUUUCUACUUCAGGAAGGUCAAAUCAAAUUGUCACCUAACCACGUGAUCCCGUCGGCAGAAGAGUUGAAGAGGAUGAGGUAUUGCAAGUGGCAUAAUGCAACUUCACAUGAUACCAAUGAGUGCAAAGUAUUCAGACAACAGCUGCAAUCGGCCAUAGAGUCAGGGAGAAUCAAGUUUGAUAGUUCCAAAGCCCAGAAGCCGAUGAAGAUAGACCAACAUCCUUUCCCGACGAACACGUUGGAUGCUAAGGGGAAGGCUAAGGUCUUGACGUCGGAGAUAGCUGAGAAGAGUGCAUCGGUAGAUCCUCAGCAUCAAGUUACUACCGCUGAUGCAAGAAGUAAGGGCUUGGUCCAGGAAGGAACUAGCUCAGGAAGAAUUCCUCGAUCUGGUAUUGUCAUAACUCAUAGAAGGCCUCGAGAGAGAUGGCAACAACGGGAAGAUCGGUACCGGCGCCAGCAGGAAGAUUAUCAACGGGAAGAAGAGAGACGCCGACAGGAGUGGAAUCGGCAUAGGGAUCAUUGGAAUUGCCCAUUCUUCAUCCAUUGUUGGGAGGAAAAUAUCAAGCUUCCUACUGUCAGAGACUGCCCUGAAUGCAACGGUUAUGAUCGGUACGACAGGAACGAUCGGCGUUAUCAUGAUGAUGAACGACGAUUUAAUGGGCCGAUCAGAGGAAGGGCGUCAGUUCAUGAUCGGCUGGGGGGCAGGCUUAGCAUUCACGAUCGGCUUGGUGACCGUGUCCAGUAUUUUCCCAGGAACCAAGAGGAGCUUGAAAGAAUGGCUGAUGCGCGGGUUCCCGAUGAAUUCAUAUUUUGCAGGGAUGCUAAUACGCAUCGCAUGGAGUUAAGAGAGAACCAACGCCCGACGGCAAGGCAAAGGCCACUUCCUCCAUGGUGCCCUCAAGGAUUAACUAAGACACAGAAAAGGAGAUUGCAACAUGAAAGGCAGGAAGAGCUAAAUAAAGGAGAGAACUCUGGAAGUCGGCAGCCAUCAGACACUAAGAAGGAAGGUCCAUCGGCAGGCGUCAACAUGGUCUUCAUGUUGCCGAUGGAGUUUCUUGCACCAGCCAGUGAUGAUGAGUUGGAAUUUUCUGAUCAGAUAGCUCAGUUGGCUCUGGAUCCGAUGACGGCUAUCUUUGAGAAACCUGCCGAUGACGAGAGGCAGCAUCUCAAAGCUUUGUUCCUCAAAGGAAGGGUCGAUGGGCAGCCAAUGACCAAGAUCCUGGUUGAUGGUGGAGCCGCUAUUAAUAUUAUGCCGUACGCAGUAUAUCGGAAGCUUGGAAAAGGGGAUCAAGAUUUGACCAAGACCGAUAUGAUGCUAAAAGAUUUUGAAGGAAACGUGUCUCCAGUCAAGGGAGCGAUAUGUGCAGAGUUGACUAUCGGCAGCAAAACCUUGCCGACAACUUUUUUCGUGAUCAGCGGAAAAGGUGCUUACAAUUUAUUAUUGGGGAGAGAUUGGAUUCAUGCCAAUUGUUGUGUCCCAUCUACAAUGCAUCAGUGCUUGGUUCAGUGGGUAGGCGACAAGAUUGAGAUCGUCCCAGGGGAUUCUUCUUAUGUUAUCGCAUCGGCAGAGGCGGAUACUUAUGAAAAGACUAGGUGCAUUUCAGGAGAAGUGUGGGAGAAAGAUUUUCUCAAGGUUGCCGAUUAUGAGAUUCCACCGAUCCAAGCAGUCGGUUCUGAUGACGGUUUUUAAUGGAUAGAUUCGCCGAUGAUGGAAAAUUAGGCCAGGGAUUCACAUCGGCCGAUGAUUUGGUAGAAGUAGAUAUAGGUAGUGGUGAUAGGCCUAGGCCUACUUUUAUCAGCGCUAAACUAGAUCCUGAGUGUAGACGGCAAUUAACUAGUUUGUUAAAGGAAUAUAAAGAUUGCUUUGCUUGGGAUUAUACAGAGAUGCCUGGUUUAGACCGAUCAAUUGUUGAACAUCGGUUACCCAUUAAGUCUGGAUUUCGGCCACAUCAGCAACCAGCCCGCCGAUGUAAUCCUAACAUUCUACCUCAUAUUAAGGCCGAAAUCACUAAACUUAUUGAAGCUAAGUUUAUUCGGCAGUGUCGGUAUGCUGAAUGGAUUUCCAAUGUCGUCCCGGUUUACAAGAAGAAUGGGAAACUUCGGGUGUGCAUUGAUUUCAGGAAUCUCAAUAAAGCUACGCCGAUGGAUGGAUAUCCAAUGCCUGUCGCCGAUCUACUGGUUGAUGCUGCGGCUGGCCAUCGGGUCAUCAGCUUCAUGGAUGGUAAUGCGGGUUACAAUCAAAUAUUCAUGGCAGAAGAGGAUAUUCCAAAAACCGCAUUCAGGUGUCCUGGUCAUGUUGGACUAUUUGAAUGGAUAGUCAUGACUUUUGGGUUAAGGAAUGCCGGUGCUACCUAUCAAAGGGCUAUGAAUUUUAUAUUUCAUGAGUUCAUCGGCAAGAUCGUAGAAAUUUAUAUUGAUGAUGUGGUGGUUAAGUCUGGAGAUUUCUCAAAGCAUCUUGCCGAUUUACGAAGAGUGUUGGAAUGCACGAGGAAGCAUGGAUUGAAGAUGAAUCCCAACAAGUGUGCAUUUGGUGUAUCGGCAGGGCAGUUUCUUGGUUUCAUGGUACAUCAGAGGGGUAUUGAAAUUAGUCGAAGGUCUAUUGAUGCUAUCGAUAAAAUAGUGGCCCCUACCAAUAAAACCGAGCUCCAAUCGUUGAUCGGCAAAGUGAAUUUUAUCAGAAGAUUUAUAUUGAAUUUAUCUGGGAGAAUUCGUGCUUUCAGUCCUCUUCUUAAAUUGAAAGCCGAUCAGGAGUUUGUUUGGGGAAAAGAACAGCAGUUGGCUCUAGAUGAAAUCAAAAGGUAUCUAGUAAACCCUCCAGUUUUAGUUCCACCUCGACAAGGGAAACCCUUCAAAUUAUAUUUAUCUACCGAUGGAUCGGUUAUCGGUUCAGCUUUAGUUCAAGAAUUUGAAGGGAAAGAGAGGGUAAUUUAUUAUUUGAGUAGGAGGUUAAUUGAUGCUGAAAUCAGGUAUUCGGCCAUUGAGAAGCUGUGCUUAUGCUUAUAUUUUUCAUGUAUCAAGCUAAGACAUUACCUGUUGUCAGCCGAAUGUGCUGUUGUUUGCAAAGAUGACGUGGUCCGAUACAUGCUAUCUAUGCCGAUUAUGAGUGGUAGGAUCGGUAAAUGGAUUUUGGCGCUGUCGGAGUUCGAUUUGCGUUACGAAUCGGCUAAGGCGGUCAAAGGGCAGGUUAUGGCCGAUUUCGUGACUCAGCAUUGCGGUCUAGUGGAAACCUGGGAAAUUGCACCCUGGACGCUCUUCUUUGAUGGAUCUACCUGUGACCGGGGGGCAGGAAUCGGCAUUAUAUUAGUUUCUCCUAAGGGGAGGAAGUAUGAAUUUUCCUUGCCGAUUGUUGCUACAUCAACAAAUAAUCAGGCUGAGUAUCAAGCUCUGAUCAAGGGAUUGGAGUUGUUAAGAGAAGUUCGUGCUGAUGCUGUUGAAGUAUUCGGAGAUUCCAUGUUGGUUAUAAAUCAAUUGGCUGGAAGCUAUGAGUGCCGAAGUGAAGUUCUCAUAACCUAUUUCGAGAGAAGUAUACAACUGUUGAAGGAAUUCAAGAACUUCCGAUUGGAGCAUAUUCCCCGAUUGCAUAAUGAAGACGCUAAUCGGUUAGCCCAGCAUGCCUCGGGAUAUCAGCCAAUGAUUAAUGCGACAUCGGUAGUCACUGCCGGUGAUUGGAGGGAAGAAAUCAUUGAUUAUCUAAAAGAUCCGUCCAAAAAGGUUGAAAGACGGGUUCGAUUUCAAGCAACCAAGUAUGUGAUCCUUGAAAAUGAAUUGUAUUAUCGAACUAUCGACGGAAUUCUUCUCCGAUGCCUGGGUGAUGAUGAAGCCAGAAGUUUAAUGGGAGAAAUCCAUGAAGGAGUGUGUGGAGCGCAUCAGUCAGCUUUUAAGAUGAAGUGGAUGAUUCGAAGGAAUGGAUAUUUUUGGCUGACCAUACUCGAAGAUUGUUUUAAAUAUUUCAAGGGAUGUCAAGGUUGUCAAAAGUUCGGUAAUAUCCAGAGAGCACCCGCAUCGGCUAUGAAUCCUAUAAUAAAACCUUGGCCGUUCCGGGGGUGGGCCAUCGAUCUGAUCGGCCAGAUUCAUCCACCAUCUAGCAAAGGGCAUAAAUUCAUUCUGGUUGCCACUGACUAUUUCACCAAAUGGGUCGAAGCUAUUCCCUUGAAGAAAGUCACAUCGGCCAAUAUGAUUGAUUUUGUGAAGGAGCAUAUUAUUUACCGAUUUGGGAUUCCCCAAACGGUUACUACCGAUCAGGGCACCAUGUUCACGUCGGGGGAGUUCGAUGAAUUUGCAAUCGGUAUGGGAAUUAAAGUGUUGAAUUCUUCUCCUUACUAUGCUCAAGCCAAUGGGCAGGCCGAAGCGUCUAACAAGGGAAUUAUCAAGCUUAUUAAACGAAAGAUUGAAGAAAAUCCUAGGCGGUGGCAUACAUUGUUGAAUGAAGCACUGUGGUCUUAUCGGAUGGCUUGUCAUGGAUCAACCAAGGUGUCGCCUUAUCAAUUGGUGUAUGGACAUGAUGCAGUUUUGCCUUGGGAGAUUAAGGCUGGAUCUAGGCGAUUAUCUUUUCAAGAUCAAUUGGCUGCCGAUGAUUAUGCCACUUUAAUGACCGAUGAGUUAGAUGAUUUAGCAGGGCAUCGGUUAACGGCUUUAAUGAGUAUAGAAGAAAAUAAGAAGAGAGUUGCCAGAUGGUAUGAUAAAAAGGUGAAGGCUAAGGAGUUUGCCGAUAAGGAUUUGGUAUGGAAGUUGAUUUUGCCAGUCGGGACUAAAAGUUCAAAGUUUGGAAAGUGGUCUCCUAAUUGGGAAGGUCCUUAUCGGAUAAAACGCUCAGCUCCUGGUAAUGCCUAUAUUCUAGAAACUCUCGAAGGAGUUGAAUUUCCUAGAGCAUUAAAUGGCAAAUAUUUGAAGAAGUACUACCCCAGCAUAUGGAUCGAUGCAUAAAAGGUUAAGUGCCGAUAACAUUCCUAUCGGCUGAAUUUAAAUGUUCAAGGGCAGACUUAAUGUUUCAAAAGAUGCCGAUAACAGUCUUAUCGGCUAGACUAAAAGCUAAAAACGGAGAAACAAAGGUGUGUCGCCGAUGAAAGCUUCAGAUGUUCAGCAGUGCCUGGAUUGCAGAUAUGGCGCGCAGCCGAAUCUGGUUGGCUGUCUCUAUCUCUUUGAUAUCGUCAUCGGCAGAACCUUCAAUCGGCUUCAAUUUCCUCUUCAGUUGCAACGCUUUACGACCGUGGACGUUUCGUUCCUGUUCAAGAUGCUUGAUGGUCUCCGGCAGUUGACUAUCUUCUUGUUGGGCUUGGGACAGGGCGUCUUCUACUUGCUUGAGUUCAGCCAGCAGAGCUUCUCUUUUUGCCGAUAGAUCAGACAUUUUCUGCUUCAGUGCAUCACCUGAGGACUUUAAGAUGCCGAUGUUCUUAUGUUUCUCAUUGGCUAAGAGUUUUUCUUUUAUCAUCUCCUCAGAGAGCUGGAUUUGAGCAGCUCUGUCGGCAAGGCGUCGAGUAGCUCUCUGGUACUGUAGCUGACGGCUUUCUAGAUGUGCAGCGUGGAAGAGUGCUUCUUCGGCAUCGGCAGGAAUUUGGCCUCUAAGAGUCUUGAACAGGGCCUUGGCUGGGUCAGAAUCGUCGACCAGUUGAGUUGUGUCUUGAUGAAGUAUGGCCGAUAGCUCCUCCAGCCUAGCUUUAGUUUCUGCCGAUACAAUUCCAACUGCCCGAGAAGAGCUUGCUUCCUCGCCUUCUUCUUCAAAGAUAUCAAUAGCGAAGGAGAAUAAGCUGUCGGGAGAAUCUUGUUCCUGAAAAUGAAAAUGAAAUAGGUCAAUUUUAUGGUCAAAACGUCGACAGAUGAUACCGAUGGAAAAGUGGAUGACUUACUUGCUUCAGGGCAAUUUCCUGCCUUUGACUCAGAGAGGCCGAUGGAGCUGCAGGUUGAUCGGCAGAUGUUGCCGAUAGAACGAUAUCGCCUGAAAGAAGACAGGAAGCAUUAUAAGAAGAAAUGAAAAUGAGUUUAUCGGUAGGAGUAUUGUUGGGAUAUGUUACCCGGAAGAGGAACAACAGUUGUUUGAAUUGAGGAGACCGCCGAUGACAUAACUGGACCUGCCAGGCCAGUUGUUUGUUCGCCUACGUCAGAUAACGCACCCGCCGUUUGAGGUUCUUCUUGCUGAGGCUCUUCAGUCUGUAGUGCUUCCUGUGUUGAUUGAGGAGAUAUUCCUUGCUGUGCUUGGACUUCUGGAGGAGAAGGGGAAGAUUCCACCGGGAUUGGAAACACCGGAGGAGGAGGAGGAGUUGCCAUUUUCUGACGCUUUGUUCCAGUCUUAACACCUUGGACGCCUUUCCUCUUUGGCUGGCUAGACUGGGGGGGAUCGGCACCUUGACGUUUGGCUUUUGCCGAUGCACCAGUUUGCUGCAACAACGAUAAAGAGUUUAUGAGCACAGAUAACCGAUAUAAAGAUAGUCAGCAUAAAUAAAAAGGGGUUUUAACAGAUUGCCUUGAAAGCUUGCGCCAAAGUGGAAGCAGUUACCGUUGGUGAUGUCUGAGUUUUCCUGGUGGUAACUUUCUUGAGACGCGCACCCCGGUGCACAAUGGAAGCCAGAGUGGGAGCAUUGUGGCCGAUUGAGGAGAUCGGGCCUGGUGGGAAUAAGUCGAUCGGCUUGCCACUCCUGCUAACCGAUGGGGGGGUGUUGUCAAUCUGCAAAAAGAACACAGGGGUAAAUUAUCGAUGGGAAUAGUAUUGGAAAAUGAGACAUCGGUUUAAAACACUUACAGUGUCGUCAGGGACUUCGUAUUCGGGGUCGAUCAUGCCACGGUAUGAGAGAGCCGAUCUGCAGAAUAGAUUCUCCUUCCAUUCUGCCCACCAUAGCUUGUAUGCUUGAGUAAUAAAGGCAGCUGGAACCCAUUCUGACAGAUCUACAUCUGUAUCGGCAUUUGGUGGUAACUGGGCUACUCAAGUCCACUCGAGGAGGUUAGCGAUGGGUUCUCUGGGCUUUAUUACAUCGGCAUAAGGAAGUGCGAUCGGCAAUUGGCCGAAAGCCAGCUGGCGAGCUAAUGCCGAUGGAUUAUAAAAUUCAUAGGUUUGGGGAGAGGUUUUCGUGCUGCCGAAGAAGUUCACUGGUAUGGCUCUGGGAGUCACGAUUGCCAUCAUCACCUCAUUGUCCCUGUCAAGAGCGUCGUCGAACGGAUUGAAGGUCAGGGGGAGCAUGCUGUCUGGGUCGUCAUAAGCCAGCCAUGGUCGUUCAUCUCUGGCCAGACCCUCAUACAGCGUUUCGAAGAAUCGGCCGAUCUGAUCCGGAGUGUUCCCUGAACCGGGUAAAACUAUAACAGCUUCGCCAAAGUUCAGGGGGGCACGUGUUGCCGAUUCCUCUUCGCCCAACACAUGGUUCUCGGCUAUAUCUCUUGGGAAGUGCUGAGAGAAUAAGUUGAGGUCAAGGCGCUUGUGCAGGUGCAGGUUGAGCCACAUAUUAAUAAACCACCAAGGACCUCCCAAGUUGCCGAUAGGUUGGCCGAGCAGGAGUUUCUGGACUACCUGAUGAAGGAGGUGAUAAACAGCGCCGAGCAAAUAACGGCCGAGAGGAAAUUGACCACCGCUAGCCAGUCUUUCUGCUGCCGAUAGGUAGACAGAAGUCGGUCCUGCCGAUCGACCACAGAAUACAAAUUUGUCUAGCCACAUGUUCAGAAAAGUGGUUUGUUCCUUUAUGGAGACAGGCCCUCUCCCGCGGUACUUCUGGAUGUACCCUGACCAGCCGCCGAUAGCGCGAGUCUCCACUUUGGCGCUGGGGGCGGUAUCAAAAAAGUGGGUGCUAUCGGCAGAAGAUAUGUCUAACCCAGUGAGCAUGGCUACAUCGGCAAGGGUAGGAGAAGCAGGGCCGUGGCCAAAAACAAAAGCGUUGAGAGUAUCUGACCAAAAGUAAGAUGCGGCUAUCAGCAGUGACUCGUUCCUGUGCAUAUCGGCAAUGGACAGCCUAAUGCAUUGAGCUAAUUUCCUCUCACCCCAUUGAACUUCAUAAGAGUUGCUGACCCUCAAGAACCAGUCUUUCCACCCUACAGUAGGGCUAGGCCAAGAGCGAAAGGUGUCUUUCCAUAGAUCUAGAGCAAAGUUUUCGGCUCUAAAGGGAAUCCUGUUGGUUUCUGCGUUGAUAAGGUCGGUUGGAUCUGGAUCCCCUAGGGGGCCGAGGCAUUGAAGAUGUGGUUGAUCGGUAGGAAUGACAAUUUUGUUGGAUAACUCCUGGUGUUUUGGGGAAUAAAGAUACAAAGAAAAGGGAGAGGGAAAAUAUUCGGUAAGGUAAAUCGCAGAUGAACAGGAAUGCAGGAAAAAGGUACAGCGGAUGAGAUGAAAGUCUGACCUCAGGGACGACGAAGCCAACGGCCAUCUUGUCGUGAGGGGGACGCUGGAAGACGCCGGAGUUGAUGAAGAAGAAUGCUUGUCGGAGAUCUUGGGGAUUGAGAAUGGCGCCGCCGCUGGAAAAGUGAUGUUGGAUGGCAGAAUGAUGUAAUGGGGGAGGAGUACCCAAGAAGGAACUAUUUAUAGGGCAAGAUGGGCAAGGGCAAAUCUGACUUAUUUCUUUGCCACAUCCGAGAAACCCGAGGGUACUCAAGUGGAUAUGGUAACUGUUCGCACGAUAAUCCAGGGAUUGUGCAGGUGAUUUGACAGGAAGCGGUCAUUAUCUAAAGAUAUUUUACUGUGCGCGAUCUCUUGGUCGGUCCAUCGGUGAUAUUCUAUAACGGUCGUCCUGCCGAUGGGCAGAUAGAGGGGAAGUAACCGUUUUUGCGAAUAUCCUGGGCAGAGCAUCGGCAGAUCUUUGUAACGGUAUUGUUGCCGAUGUACGACUAAGAGGGAUGCCCGUUUGGGAAGUUGUGGAUUUCGAGGGAUCUGCGGAGGAUUAGGAUCAGAGUUGCCCAGAUUGAGGUUGUCGGUUACCAGAUUAGGAGCAUUAAUUGCGGAAAAGACAUCAUUACUGCAGAGAAUUUCGGAGCAUUAAUAGUUUUAUACUCCGAAACUGGGGGGCAUGUGUUGACACCAUUUUUGGGCACGUGUCCAGAAUGGCAGGACAGGGUGGCAGUACGAUACGGGUUGCUGGUAAGGAUGGUUGCCGAUGAGGGAAGGGUUGAAUGUGACUAAGUCCUCAGACAGUAACAUGGUACCGAUGACCAAGUAAAAGGGUCUGCCGAUGACUAUGGCAAGGGGAUUGCCGAUGGCGCGAAGGAGGAGUCCGGAAGUUGCCAGUUGUCAUGUGGAGGAGUUUCGGUUUGUCACGAAGGAUGGUUUUAUUAUUUCCUUAUGUUAUUCGUAUCGUUUUAUAUACGGGUUCCGUGUAAUUUGGAAUUCGAAUUCUAAUCGUGUCUGGUCGUAGCUCUUUGAGCAGGGUAUAAAUGUAAGCCCUAAGACCUUGUAAUCAGAUAUCAAGAAAUCAAUCAAACAUACGUUUUUACUCAUAUUCCAGCAUCUACUUUUCGACGACUUCGUCACCCUUUUUUUCUUCUUAUUACGAGUUCUUAGGAAUUCGUCGACUUAAGCUCGGCGUGUUCUCGAGUUCCGCGUGAGUACCUCUUAGCCGUGACAUCCGGGCGCAUCGCUGUUGUCAGGACUAAAGUAUUCGAGUUAUCACCUUUGCCGAUAGCAAGGUCAAAUCGGCUGGCACGCCUUAACGUUUGAAUCGGGUAUUAGCCCUUUGUGUUUGCAGAUCAAUUUUGCAUCAACAAGUUCUUACCAAUUCUUACCUUGCUUGACAGGAGGGGUCGUCUGCCAACAAGUGGACAGCAAUGGACGAAGUGUAUCAGUGCUGCAGCACAAGACCUGUCAAGCUGUAGAGUAUGUGGAGCUAUAGGUGGGCUGAAACAAGGAACGAACUAGCACCACGUUAGUUAUAAAAGCGAGCUGAAUAAGCGUUCGACGAUGGUACUGUGCUGGUCCUAGGCUAGACCGUGCUAGAGACGCGAGCUUGGACACAAAGGAAAGCCACAGCACACCCCCAAAAACAAGGUGGAACAAACCUAAAAUCAAUAUGAAAAACAGCCCCUUUUUUUUCUUUUGAAUCUUUUCUCUUUUCUUUUUUUGUUUUUCUUCUUUUUUUUCUUUUUUUUGGGCAACCUCAAAAACUGAUUAUAUGAACAAAAGAAUACAAAAGAGCAAUUCGCUACACACACUUUUUCCGAAAGUACAGGGGUAUUCCGAAACUAACAUUGUCUCCAAACAGACUGAAGUGAGAUUCCAUAUGACACACGUCAUCUAAGAGUUCCAUUGGGUGCGUCCAAAUUGAUUUCUUAAGAUAUGGUACGUUCAAUCCAAACUAUGCAACUAUCUUGCAUCACGAUUAGCACUAUAUCCGAACAGACCAAAUCAAGCCUCCACUUAAGCCUCUUCAACUACGAGUACCAUCGGGUGCGCCUAAAAUGGUUUCUUAGCCUAUGGUGCAUUAGGCGUAAACCGUGCACAUAUCUUCUACCAAAACUAACACUGUCUCUAAACGAACCGAAGCAAGGUUCCAUAUGACACACAUCAUCAAGAAGUUAUAUUAGGUGCGUCCUAAUUGAUUUCUGAGCAUAUCGUACAUUCCAUGCAAACCGUGCAUCUAUCUUACAUUAAGAUUAGCACUAUCUCCAAACAGAAGCAAAAUCUGUAAACUCACUAGUAGCAGCCCUAACACGUGUAGUCUCAGGAAAUUCAUGACAUGCAAACUUUUGAUCAAUAGCAAUCUCCCAAGUGAUGUAAGCAUCAGGGUCAUAUUUACCAUCAAAAGGGGGUAUCUUAAAUUUAAUCUUACUGAAAGCAUCAUCAUUAUUGUGUACCUCGCGUCGGCGGUUGCCACCCAUACCUCUACGGUUGUGACGAAGGCGACGUCGAUCACGAGUGUCUUGAUCAUCAUGUUCAGUAUCACCAGUGUAGUCAUCUUCAUGACUACCGUGCUCUCGAUCUCCCUCCUUUUCUUCUUUAUGCUUCUCUUUAUCUUCGGUGUGGAAAGCAUCAAAUCGCCUUAGGAGAGCAGCAAGGCUUUUGUCCACACUAGCAACGGAUUCCUCCAAACUUGUGAGCUUGUUGUUUGUGGCAAUCUGCGUAGCCUCCAACUGUCCCAGCUUUUCAUUUGUCACCUGCAAGUCGUUAUCAAGUCCCUCUGUGUGCAGCUUCACUUUCCUUUCAAAAUGUUGUAUGAUGCCCUUAGUGCGAGGUGUAUGUGGUGUUUCGUUACCAUCAUCUGCCCCUGGCAUGGUUCAAAGACAAAGACAACAAAAAGGCAAGUGAAGAAAUAAAAGCCCUACAACUACUAGGAUGUAGCUACAGCAACUCGCUCACACUCAACCUGUAACACAAGUUCUUACCAAUUCUUACCUUGCUUGACAGGAGGGGUCGUCUGCCAACAAGUGGACAGCAAUGGACGAAGUGUAUCGGUGCUGCAGCACAAGACCUGUCAAGCUGUAGAGUAUGUGGAGCUAUAGGUGGGCUGAAACAAGGAACGAACUAGCACCACGUUAGUUAUAAAAGCGAGCUGAAUAAGCGUUCGACGAUGGUACUGUGCUGGUCCUAGGCUAGACCGUGCUAGAGACGCGAGCCUGGACACAAAGGAAAGCCACAGCACACCCCCAAAAACAAGGUGGAACAAACCUAGGACCAAACCGAGCUUUCACUUGAGCAAACCGUGCAUCUAUCUUACAUCAAGAUUAGCACUAUCUCCAAACAGACCAAACCGAGCUUUCACUUGAGCCCCUUGACCUAGGAGUAUCAUUGGGUGCGUCCAAAAUGAUUUCUUAUCCUAUGGUGCAUUAGGUGCAAACCGUGCACCUAUCUUGCACCGAAACUAACAGUGACUCUAAACGGACCGAAGUGAGAUUCCAUAUGACACAUGUCAUCUAGGAGUUCCAUCUAGUGCGUCCAAAUUGAUUUCUGAGCAUAUGGUAUGUUCCAUGCAAAUCGUGCACCUAUCUUGCAUCAAGAUUAGCACUAUCUCUAAACAGACUGAACCAACUGAUGCGAACCCGCUAGGGUUUUUGCCCGAUCUUUUGAUGAGAGACGGGGAUAACUCGAUUGGUGGAUGGAGAUGACGUUCACGGCCCGACUACAGCCCUCAAGACCGCGCCUUAGCAACCGAUACACCAGGUCUAAUAGCCGUCACGAUCUUGUGGAGCGCGACAACCAGCCCCUAGGGCUCCCGUCCUGCAAGCAAUCGAAGAACUAGCAAGAACGAGGAAACAAGCACUGAAUUUGCAAGAUGAAUUGAAGAUUUCAAACUGAAUCGUAAUCAACAAUGGGGUUCCGAAGACAAGGAGACGGGCGGCUGAUCCUGCACGCGCGCCUACAAGCAAGUAGCGAAGGCUAAACUUGAUCUAAACAAAAACCCAACAACCAUGGCGACUCUAGAGGGAUAUAAGUAGAUGGAUUGAUGACCAAAGAGGUGUUGGGGUCGUCCUCCAACCCUAGGACGCGUCCCUAAUAGACCCAACUUGAUACAUGGGCCAUCAGUCCAAAAUGAGGUGACGCAGCACCCUGGACAGCAAGACCUAUCGAUGGUAAUUGGAUCAUUGCCGCUGCUGCCAAACAGUUAUUGACGUGGGACUUGAUUCAUAUGAAAGUAGACUUGAUAAGCUUUCCAACAAGUCCUGAAGCGCCUGAAUCCGAAUCCGUAUGCAACCGUGGUAACGGUCACAAGUUGGCGCUUUGCUGCUGUCCGAAUCCAGUGAGCGUGAGUCCUUCUCCCUUUCGGUCUUCUCCUUGGUUCCUAAUCAAAACAAGAGUGCACGCAUUUCCAUUGUCUAAACAAGAUGGCCACGAGCUUAUCAAGGAACUCACUUGAUUAUUAAGUUGACGAACACGAGCACGAGUAAGAGGACCAGCUAUAGGUUGUGUCGGAGAGGAUGUAUCGCUGGUGUUGAUGUCCUCAUCACCAAGCCUCCACUUGAGCCUCUUCACCUAGGAGUACCAACAGGUGCUUCCAAAAUGGAUUCUUAGACUUUGGUGCAUUAGGCUGAAACCGUUCACAUAUCUUGCACCGAAACUAAUAUUGUCUGUAAGCACACCAAAGCGAGAUUCCAUAUGACACAAGCCAUCAAGGAGUUCUAUCGGGUGUGUCCAAAUUAAUUUCUAAGCAUAUGGUACGUUCCAUGCAGACCGUGCAUCUAUCUUGCAUCAAGAUUAGCACUAUCUCCAAAUAGACCAAACCGAGCUUUCACUUGAGCCUUUUACCUAGGAGUACCAUCGGGUGCGUCCAAAAUGGUUUCUUAGCCUAUGCUAAAUUAUGUGCAAACCUUGUACCUAUCUUGCAUCGAAACUAACACUAUCUCCGAAUAGACCGAAGCAAGAUUUCGUAUGACACACGUCAUCUAGGAGUUCCAUCAUGUGCGUCCAGAUUGAUUUGCAUGCAUUUGGUAUGUUCCAUGCAAACUGUGCACCUAUCUUGUAUCAAGAUUAGCACUAUCUCCAAACAGACCGAACUGAGCUUCCACUUGAGCCUCUUCAUCUAAGAGUAUAAACAGGUGCGUCAAAAAUGGUUUCUUAGAGUAUGAAGCAAUAGGCACAAACUAUGCACCUAUCUUGCACCGAAACUAACAUUGUCUCCAAACAGACCGAAGCGAGAUUCCAUAUGACACACGUCAUCUAGGAGUUCCAUUGGGUGCGUCCAAAUUGAUUUCUUAACAUAUGGUACGUUCCAUGCAAACUGUGCAACUAUCUUUCAUCAUGAUUAGUACUAUAUCCGAACAGACCAAAUCGAGCCUCCACUUGAUCCUCUUCAACUAAGAGUACCAUCGGGUGCGUAUAAAAUGGUUUCCUAGCAUAUAGUGCAUUUGGAGUAAACCGUGCACAUAUCUUGUACCAAAACUAACAUAAUCUCUAAAUGAACCGAAGCAAGAUUCCAUAUGACACACAUCAUCAAGGAGUUAUAUCAGGUGUGUCCUAAUUGAUUUCUGACGAUAUCGUAUGUUCCAUACAAACCGUGCAUCUAUCUUGCAUCAAGAUUAGCACUAUCUCCAAACAGACCAAACUGAGCUUUCACUAGAGCCCCUUGACCUAGGAGUACCAUCGGUUGCGUCCAAAAUGGUUUCUUAUCCUAUGGUGCAUUAGGUGCAAACCGUGCACCUAUCUUGCACCGAAACUAACACUGUCUCUAAACAAACCGAAGUGAGAUUCCAUAUGACACAUGUCAUCUAGGAGUUCCAUCUGGUGCAUCCAAAUUGAUUUCUGAGUAUAUGGUAUGUUCCAUGCAAAUCGUGCACCUAUCUUGCAUCAAGAUUAGCACUAUCUCUAAACAGACCAAACCGAGCCUCCACUUGAGCCUCUUCACCUAGGAUUACCAACAGGUGCUUCCAAAAUGGUUUCUUAGUCUUUGGUGCAUUAGGCGCAAACCGUGCACAUAUCUUGCACCGAAACUAACACUGAUUCUAAACUGACCAAAGCGAGAUUCCAUAUGACACACAUCAUCAAGGACGGGUGCAUCCAAAUUGAUUUUCAAGCAUAUGGUAUGUUCCAUGCAAACUGUGCACCUAUCUUCUAUCAAGAUUAGCACUAUCUCCAAACAGACCGAUCCAAGCUUCCACUUGAGCCUCUCCAUUUUGGAGUACAAACAUGUGCAUCAAAAAUGGUUUCUUAGACUAUAGUGCAUUAGGCACAAACUAUGCACCUGUCUUGCACCGAAACUAACACUGUCUCUAAACAGACUGAAGCGAGAUUCCAUAUGACACACGUCAUCUAGGAGUUCCAUUGGGUGCGUCCAAAUUGAUUUCUUAACAUAUAGCACGUUCCAUGCAAAUUGUGCAACUAUCUUGCAUCAAGAUUAACACUAUCUCUAAACAGACCGAACCGAGCCUCCACUUGAGCCUCUUCACCUAGGAGUACCAACAGGUGCUUCCAAAAUGGUUUCUUAGACUUUGGUGCAUUAGGCGCAAACCGUGCACAUAUCUUCUACCAAAACUAAUACUGUCUCUAAGCACACCAAAGCGAGAUUCCAUAUGACACACAUAUUCAAGGAGUUCUAUCAGGUGUGUCCAAAUUAUUUUCUAAGCAUAUGGUACGUUUCAUGCAGACCGUGCAUCUAUCUUGCAUCAAGAUUAGCACUAUCUCCAAAUAGACCAAACUGAGCUUUCACUUGAGCCUUUUACCUAGGAGUACCAUCGGGUGCGUCCAAAAUGGUUUCUUAGCCUAUGCUACAUUAUGUGCAAACCUUGCACCUAUCUUGCACCAAAACUAUCACUGUCUCCAAAUAGACCGAAGCAAGAUUUCGUAUGACACACGUCAUCAAAGAGUUCCAUCAUGUGCGUCGAGAUUAUUUUCCAAGCAUUUGGUAUGCUCCAUGCAAACCGUGCACAUAUCUUGCAUCAAGAUUAGCACUAUCUCCAAACAGACCGAACCGAGCCUCCACUUGAGCCUCUUCACCUAGGAGUACCAACAGGUGCUUCCAAAAUGGUUUCUUAGUCUUUGGUGCAUUAGGCGCAAACCGUGCACCGAAACUAACACUGUUUCUAAACUGACCAAAGCGAGAUUCCAUAUGACACACAUCAUCAAGGAUGGGUGCAUACAAAUUGAUUUCCAAGCAUAUGGUAUGUUCCAUGCAAACCUUGGAUGUAUUUCGCAUCAAGAUUGGCACUAUCUCCAAACAGACCGAACCGAGCUUCCACUUGAGCCUCUUCAUCUAGGAGUACAAACAAGUGCAUCAAAAAUGGUUUCUUAGACUAUGGUGCAUUAGGCACAAACUAUGCACCUAUCUUGCACCGAAACUAACAUUGUCUCCAAACAAACCGAAGCGAGAUUCCAUAUGACACACGUCAUCUAUUAGUUCCGUUGGGUGCUUCCAAAUUGAUUUCUUAACAUAUGGUACGUUCCAUGCAAACUUUGCAACUAUCUCGCAUCAAGAUUAGCACUAUAUACAAAGAGACCAAAUCGAGCCUCCACUUGAGCCUCUUCAACUAUGAGUACCAUCGGAUGUGUCUAAAAUGGUUUCUUAGCCUAUGAUGCAUUAGGUGUAAAUCGUGCACAUAUCUUCUACCAAAACUAACACUGUCUCUAAACGAACCGAAGUAAGAUUCUAUAUGACACACAUCAUCAAGUAGUUAUAUCAGGUGCGUCCAAAUUGAUUUCUAAGCAUAUCGUAUGUUCCAUGCAAAUUGUGCAACUGUCUUACAUCAAGAUUAGAACUAUCUCUAAACAGACCAAACCGAGCCUCCACUUGAGCCUCUUCACCUAGGAGUACCAACAGGUGCUUCCAAAAUGGUUUCCUAGACUUUGGUGCAUUAGGCGCAAACCGUGCACAUAUCUUGCACCGAAACUAACACUGUCUCUAAACACACCGAAGGGAGAUUCCAUAUGACACACGUCAUCAAGGAGUUCUAUCGGGUGUGUCCAAAUUAAUUUCUAAGCAUAUGGUACGUUCCAUGCAGACCAUGCAUCUAUCUUGCAUCAAGAUUAGCACUAUCUCGAAAUAGACCAAAUCAAGCUUUCACUUGAUCCAUUUACCUAUGGGUACUAUCAGGAGCGUCCAAAAUGGUUUCUUAGGCUAUACUGCAUGAUGUGCAAACCUUGCACCUAUCUUGAACCAAAACUAACACUGUCUCCAAACAGAACGAAGCAAGAUUUCGUAUGACACGUCAUCUAGGAGUGCCAUCAUGUGCGUCUAGAUUGAUUUCCAAGCAUUUGGUAUGUUCCAUGCAAACCGUGCACCUAUCUUGCAUCAAGAUUAGCACUAUCUCCAAACAGACCGAACCGAGCUUCCACUUCAGCCUCUUCAUCUAGGAGUACAAACAGGUGCGUCAAAAAUGGUUUCUUAGACUAUGGUGCAUUAUGUGCAAACUGUGCACCUAUCUUGCACCGAAACUAACAAUGUCUCCAAAUGAACUGAAGCGAGAUUCCAUAUGACACACGUCAUCAAGGAGUUCCAUCGGGUGCAUCCACAUUGAUUUCCAAGCAUAUGGUAUGUUCCAUGCAAACCAUGCACCUACCUUGCAUGAGGAUUAGCACUAUCUCCAAACUGACCGAAUCAAGCUUCCACUUCAGCCUCUUCACCCAGGAGUACCAAAUAGUGCGUCCAAAAUGGUUUCUUAGACUAUGGUGCAUUAGGCACAAACUGUGCACCUAUCUUGCACUAAAACUUACAAUGUCUACAAACGGACCGAAUCAAGAUUUCAUAUGACACACGUCAUCUAGGAGUUCCAUUGGGUGCGUCCAAAUUGAUUUCUAAGCAUAUGCUAUGUUCCUUGCAAAUCAUGCACCUAUCUUGCAUCAAGAUUAGCACUAUCUCCAAACAGAUCAAACAGAGCUUCCACUUGAGCCUCUUCAUCUAGGAGUACAAACAGGUGUGUCAAAAAUGGUUUCUUAGACUAUGGUGCAUUAGGCACAAACUAUGCACCUAUCUUGCACCAAAACUAACAUUGUCUCCAAACAGACCGAAGCGAGAUUCUAUAUGACACACAUCAUCUAGGAGUUCCAUUGGGUGCGUCCAAAUUGAUUUCUGGUAUGUUCCAUGCAAACUAUGCAACUAUCUUGCAUCAAGAUUAGCACUAUAUCCAAAUAGACCAAAUUGAGCCUCCAAUUGAGCCUCUUCAACUACGAUUACCAUCGGGUGCGUCUAAAAUGGUUUCUUAGCCUAUGGUGCAUUAGGCGUAAACCGUGCACAUAUCUUCUACCAAAAGUAACACUGUCUCUAAACGAACCGAAGCAAGAUUCCAUAUGACACACAUCAUCAAGGAGUUAUAUUAGGUGCGUCCUAAUUGACUUCUGAGCAUAUCGUAUGUUCCAUGCAAACCGUGUAUCUAUCUUGCAUCAAGAUUAGCACUAUCUCUAAACAGACCAAACCGAGCUUUCACUUGAGCCCCUUCACCUAGGAGUACCAACAAGUGCGUCCAAAAUGGUUUCUUACACUAUGGUGCAUUAGGUGCAAACUGUGCACCUAUCUUGCACCGAAACUAACAAUGUCUUCAAAUGGACUGAAGCGAGAUUCCAUAUGACACAUGUCAUCAAGGAGUUCCAUCGGGUGCAUCCAAAUUGAUUUCUUAACAUAUGGCACGUUCCAUGCAAACUGUGCAACUAUCUUGCAUCAAGAUUAGCACUAUAUUCGAACAGACCAAAUAGAGCCUCCACUUGAGCCUCUUCAACUACGAUUACCAUCGGGUGCAUCUAAAAUGGUUUCUUAGCCUAUGGUGCAUUAGGCGUAAACCAUGCACAUAUCUUCUACCAAUACUAACACUGUCUCUAAAUGAAUCGAAGCAAGAUUCCAUAUGACACAUCAUCGAGGAGUUAUAUCAGGUGCGUCCUGAUUGAUUUCUGAGCAUACCGUAUGUUCCAUCCAAACCGUGCAUCUAUCUUGCAUCAAUAUUAGCACUAUCUCAAAACAGACAAACCGAGCUUUCACUUGAGCCCCUUGACCUAGGAGUACCAUCCGGUGCAUCCAAAUUGGUUUCUUAUCCUAUGGUGCAUUUGGUGCAAACUGUGCACCUAUCUUGCACCGAAACUAACACUAUCUUUAGUGAGAUUCGAUAUGGACCGAAGUGAGAUUCGAUAUGACACAUGUCAUCUAGGAGUUCCAUCUAGUGCGUCCAAAUUGAUUUCUGAGCAUAUGGUUAUGUUCCAUGCAAAUCGUGCACCUAUCUUGCAUCAAGAUUAGCACUAUCUCUAAACAGACCGAACUGAGCCUCCACUUGAGCCUCUUCACCUAGGAGUACCAACAGGUGCUUCCAAAAUGGUUUCUUAGACUUUGGUGCAUUAGGCGCAAACCGUGCACAUAUCUUGCACCGAAACUAAUAAUUUCUCUAAGCACACCAAAGCGAGAUUCCAUAUGACACACGUCAUCAAGGAGUUCUAUCGAGUGUGUCCAAAUUAAUUUCUAAGCAUAUGGUACGUUCCAUGCAGACCGUGCAUCUAUCUUGCAUCAAUAUUAGCACUAUCUCCAAAUAGACCAAACUGAGCUUUCACUUGAGCCUUUUACCUAGGAGUACCAUCGGAUGAGUCCAAAAUGCUAUCUUAGCCUAUUCUGCAUUAUGUGCAAACCUUGCAUCUAUCUUGCACCGAAACUAACACUGUCUCCAAACAGACCGAAGCAAGAUUUCGUAUGACACACGUCAUCAAGGAGUUCCAUCAUGUGCGUCCAGAUGCAACUAUCUUGCAUCAAGAUUACCACUAUAUCCGAACAGACCAAAUAGAGCCUCCACUUGAGCCUCUUCAACUACGAGUACCAUCGGGUACAUCUAAAAUGGUUUCUUAGCCUAUGGUGCAUUAGGCGUAAACCAUGCACAUAUCUUCUACCAAUACUAACACUGUCUCUAAAUGAAUCGAAGCAAGAUUCCAUAUGACACAUCAUCAAGGAGUUAUAUCAGGUGCGUCCUGAUUGAUUUCUGAGCAUACCGUAUGUUCCAUCCAAACUGUGCAUCUAUCUUGCAUCAAGAUGAGCACUAUCUCAAAACAGACCAAACUGAGCUUUCACUUGAGCCCCUUGACCUAGGAGUACCAUCGGGUGCAUCAAAAAUGGUUUCUUAUCCUAUGGUUCAUUAGGUGCAAACCGUGCACCUAUCUUGCAUGGAAAGUAACACUGUCUCUAAACGAACCGAAGUGAGAUUCCAUAUGACACAUGUCAUCUAGGAGUUCCAUCUGGUGCGUCCAAAUUGAUUUCUGAGCAUAUGGUAUGUUCCACGCAAAUCGUGCACCUAUCUUGCAUCAAGAUUAGCACUAUCUCUAAACAGACCAAACCGAGCCUCCACUUGAGCCCCUUCACCUAGAGUACCAACAGAUGCUUCCAAAAUGGUUUAUUAGACUUUGGUGCAUUAGCCAUAAACCGUGCACAUAUCUUGCACCGAAACUAAUACUGUUUGUAAGCACACCAAAGCGAGAUUCCAUAUGACACACGUCAUCAAGGAGUUCUAUCGGGUGUGUCCAAAAUAAUUUCAAAGCAUAUGGUACGUUCUAUGCAAACCAUGCAUGUAUCUUGCAUCAAGAUUAGCACUAUCUCCAAAUACACCAAACCGAGCUUUCACUUGAGCCUUUUACCUAGGAGUACCAUCGAGUGAGUCCAAAAUGGUUUCUUAGCCUAUGCUGCAUUAUGUGCAAACCUUGCACCGAAACUAACACUGUCUCCAAACAGACCGAAGCAAGCUUUCGUACGACACACGUCAUCUAGGAGUUCCAUCAUGUGUGUCCAGAUUGUUUUCCAAGCAUUUGGUAUGUUCCAUGCAAACCGUGCACUUAUCUUGCAUCAAGAUUAGCACUAUCUCCAAACAGAUCGAACCGAGCCUCCACUUGAGCCUCUUCACCUAGGAGCCUCCACUUGAGCCUCUUCACCUAGGAGUACCCAAAGGUUAUGUCGGACGGAAGCACUGCCUCGGUGCCGUAAACCAUGAAGUAGGGUGACACGCCCGUGUUGUGACUAGCUUGUGUUCGAAUGCCGUGAAGGCAUGCUUCGUAUUCGGCGACGUUGUUCGAUGCCGGAAAGAGAAUCCUAAGGACGUAGCGUAGUUUGUCCUUGUUGGGCGUCACGAAGAGUAUUCUAGCGCCAGCACCAUUGAUGUUUAAAGACUCAUCGAAGAACAUUGACCAGUGGUCGGAAGUAUCGGAGAGGGGAGGCUCGUUGAGGUCCGUCCAUUCUGCGAUGAUAUCGACCAAGGCUUGGGACUUGACGGUAGUGCGGCUCUGGAAAUCCAAGGAGAAUGGGCAUAGUUCCAUUGCCAUUUUACAAUUCUGCCAUUCGCGUCCUUAUUGCGCAGAAUGUCCCCUAGGGGGAAACUAGUGGUUACCAGGACCGGAUGACCAUCGAAGUAAUGCUUCAGCUUCCUUGAAGUUAUUAAGAUGGUGUAGAUGAGCUUUUGUAUCUGAGGGUACCUGGUCUUGGACUCGUUUAAGACUUCGCUUAUGAAGUAAACUGGUCUCUGAACUUUGUAUACAUGGCCUGGCUCAUCCCGCUCGACCACCAUUGCCGUGGAGACAACCCUGUCGGUUGCUGCUAUGUAAAGGAGCAGGUCCUCGUUGGGUUGAGGCGCUGUGAGAACGGGUGGCGAAGUGAGAAAGGUUUUGAGCUGGGUGAACGCAGCGUCGGCUUCCUCUGUCUAAGAGAAUUUUUCUGACGCCUUUAGGAGCUUGAAGAAGGGGAGGCCUUUUUCUCCCAGUCUAGAAAUAAAACGGCUGAGAGCAGCCAUACAUCCGGUGAGCUUUUGAAUAUCCUUGACGUUCUUGGGUGGUCGCAUAUUGAGCACUGCUUUUACUUUUGAGGGAUUCGGCCGUAUGCCGUCGCGGCUGACGACGUUGCCGAGCAGUAGACCGGAGGGGACCCCGAAGAUACAUUUUUUGGGGUUAAGCUUCCACUUGUAUUUAUUUAGUGCCUUGAAAGUUUGGUCUAGGUUGUCGAUUAGAGUGCUUGCGUCCCUUGUUUUGACGACGACGUCGUCUACAUAAGCCUCGACGUGGUCAUCACGAAUCUCGUCAUGGAGGCAUUGCUGAAUAGCCCGUUGAUAAGUGGCUCUAGCAUUUUUGAGCCUAAAGGACAUGGUCAUGUAGCAAUACGCGCCGAAAGGAGUGAUAAAAGAUGUUUUGAUUUGGUCAUCUUCCUUUAGCGAGAUCUGGUGAUAACCAGAGUAGCAGUCUGGAAAGGAGAGGAGUUCGCAUCCGGCCGUUGAGUCGACCACCUCGUCGAUGCGAGGGAGACCAAAAGGAUCUUUAGGACAGUGCUUAUUGAGAUCAGUGUAAUCAACGCACAUUCUCCAUUCAUUAUUCUUUUUGCGUACAAGAACCAGAUUGGCGAGCCAAUCGGGAUGAUACACUUCUUUAAUGAAUCCGGCUGGUAGAAGCCGUGUUAUUUCUGUCCUAAUAGCCUCCUUUUCGUCACGAGCGAACCACCGUAGUUUCUGCUUGAUAGGUCCUGCGGUCUUCGAGAUGUUUAAGGAGUGCUCGAUCAGGUUUCGCGGCACGCCGGGCAUGUCCGUGGGUUUCCACGCAAAAACACUUCGAGAAGUUUAAGGAGUGCUCGAUCAGGUUUCGCGGGACACCGGGCAUGUCCGCGGGUUUCCACGCAAAAACACUUACGUUGUCCCUGAGAAACCUGACGAGCGCGUCUUCCUAUUUGGGAUCCAAAUCGGCCCCGAUAAGGGCCGUCUUCUCGGGGCUACCGUCGACCAGCUGUACUUCCUUGUGCUCUUUGGAUUUUGAAUUUUUCCUUGGAGUCUCCUGCUCGGGUAGUCGAAUCUGAUCGGGUGGAAGCUGCGUGGCUUGGGCUAUGAUUUCUGCCAUGCGGAUUGAGAGGUCAAGUGCCUCGGUGAUCUUGAAACUUUCCUCCUCGCAAGUGUAUGCGAUAUAAACAUUGCCUCUGACAGUUAGGACGCCUUUCUCUGUUGGCAAUUUAAGGACCAGGUAUGAGUAGUGCGGAACGGCCAUGAACUUUGUCAGCGAUGGUCGGCCCAAGAUUGCAUGGUAAGUUCCGUCAAAGUCGGCGACCAUGAUGUUGACGAACUCUGUUCGAAAGUGGUCGGGUGUUCCGAACUGGACAGACAUCGUUAUCUGUCCGAGGGGUGCUGAACUUUGACCCGGCAGGACUCCCCAGAAUUGUGUGUCAUAUGAUUUUAGUUGUGCUGGGGUAAUCUUGAGAGCAGGCAAGCUGUUGCGAAAGAGGAUGUCAAUGGAGAUUCCCCCGUCGACGAGCACGCGCUCGAAUCUGAUGUUGUUGAUGCAAGGAUCUAGGAUUAGAGGGAAACGUCUUGGUUCCGGGAUGGCGGCCCAUUGAUCCUUGCUGCUGAAGGAGAUCUCCCUGUGCGACCAGGGAGGAAAUUUCGGAUCGGCGAUCAAACCGUCUGUGUUGUCCACGUUGAGGCAGGCUCUCCUUAGGAGCUUUCUUUCUCGCUUAGACUCAAUGGAAACUUUGCCUCCGAAGAUAGAGUGGACCACGUCGGUGGGAUUGACAUACUGGUGUCGUGGGUCCCUAUCCUGGUCCUCGUCUUCGUCUUCGUGAUCGCGCCCGUCCUGCUUCCCGUUUUUCUUAGCGGAAUCGUCUUGAGCAGCCCGCCACGUGUAGAUGUUUUUGAGUACACGACAUUCUUCCAUCGUGUGAUUAGACUUGGGGUGCAGUUGGCACGGUCCCUUCAAUGUCUUGUUGUAAUCUUCCUGGUAGUCCCGCCGCCCGUUGGGGCGCUUGACCGUAUUCACCUCGUGGUCGUGGUCGCGAGGGCGCUUGCCCCUGAAGUCAUCAUGAUUGUCAUGCCGCCUAUCCCAACCUUCUCUAUGGUCGCGAUUGUUAGGGCGAUGAUGGUUCCUGUUAUCAAAACGACCACGACUGUCGUCCCGUCGAGGAGGCUAGUGGGGACCUCUCGCAUCCUCUCGGAUGAGCUUUUCUGCGUCAUCGGCGUCGGCGUAGUUUUUUGCCGUGGCAAGGAGCUCAGCCAUCAUGGUCGGCCUUUUGCGCAGUAGCUUGUUCCUUAGUGCUUCGUGGAAGCGUAGCCCUUUGAUGAAGGCGGAUAUGGCCUCGUCGUGAGAAUUUUUCGGGAUUUUCAGGCGCAUAUCCGAGAAUCGUCGGAUGUAAUCGCGCAAAGGCUCGUUUUUCCUGUCCCUUAUUCCCUCAAGGUCGUAUUUGUUCCCGGGCUGCUCGCAGGUAGCGAUGAAAUUGUCGAUAAGCGCUUGGCGCAGUUCUUCCUAGGAGUCGAAAGAGUCCUCGGGCAGGCCCAGGAGCCAUUGAUGACCAGCCUGAUCGAGGACGACUGGGAAGUAGUUGGCCAUGACGUGCUCAUCUCCUGCUGCUGAACGGACUACAAUCUCAUAGAGAGUGAUCCAGUUCUCUGGGUUUUCCUUGCCGUCGUAUUUUUGAGCUUCUCGAGUUUGAAGUUGCGGGGCCAUACGACUUGGCGAAGGUGUGAGGAAAACUGUCUCAGGCCGGGGGGGACCGUGCGCGGCAUCGUACUCAAUGCGCCGUAGGUUUUCGUGCACCGCUCUUUCCAUGGCGCGCCUGUUGAUGCGGUCCCGGGUGUCCUUCGGAGGGAUGUUGUAUCGUAGAUCCCUGUCCUAGUUUACUUCCUUACCAUGCCCACGAUUCUGCUCGCGGUAGCCGUCGGCGUCCCGUCCACCGUUGCCACGCCGUGAAUCCUUCCGACGAUUAUUGGGGGAGCGACUACGGUGGUGCUCGCUGGGUUGUGGUGAGGUCCGGCUGCGAUGAGUCUGGUCGGAGGAGACCUCUGUGUAGGAGAUAGCUUGGACCCUUUUGAGUAAGGUGGUUGUCUAUCCCAUCGUGGCGAUCAGAUGUGUGCGCACGCUGGAUCGGACACCCUGGCACUCGGGAGUAUCACGGAGCCGGUCUAGGUUUGCCAUAGCAACAGCCACGUUAGCACUUGGCGUUUUGUAAACUUGCUGAUCUCCGACCAUGUCGAAAGCGUCACUGAGGUUAUGCGGAGGGAGUUGCCGUUCCUCAUCCGCGCGUCGCCGAGCACGGUCGGCAUUGCGCUGUUCGCGGAGCUGCUUCUGCUCGUCUGACUCUCCAUCGACAACCGGUUCGUCGUUGCUGACAUUGAAGACGAGAUCUCCCCGCCGGGGCGGAAAGACCAGGAAGCGAGAGAAACCUAGAGGGUACGGUGGUAAAUCCAGGUCGUAAUCUUCGUCCUUAGAGUUUAUAACCUCGGUGGGGACGGAUCCAGUGCUGGAGUGUGUGCUGGAAGCCUGGUCGUUUGGUAGUUCUUGGAUCGUCACCAUGUUGACGUAGUGACGAGCUGGUCGACUGCUCCGUUUUGGCAACCAACCCGCCCUGUUGAAAAGGGAUUGGAUGUACCGUGAGUAGUAAACGGCUGAGUUGUCUAGCCCGUAAGGAGGACUCUGGUCUGAGUCUGCCUUGAGUUCGACGGACCGCCCCAUGGGGGUGGAAGUUAUUGUCAGAGAUAUCCCCAGCCGUUCGUGUGUGACGACACGAGUUUGCCGGUAGGAGUCGAAAAAGUCCGUCGGCGCGGCUCGAUCAGAUUGGCGUGAGAUCCCAUCUACUAGUCGGGAAGCUUCGAGGAGCCUGAGAUCAGCGCGAUCAAGGGCUCGAAAAAGAUCUGAGUUGUCGACCUUCUUUUUUCCCUUGUAACGAGGGAGUGGAGGUCGAGUGCUCGGCGCCGGCGUGAUCGGAGUCGACGUCGCCGUCGUCCCAGAUCGGAUCUGGGUUUCUUCCAAAGUCGUGGUCGUGAGGCCACCGCCCUGAGUCGUCCACGUGAUCUGGCCCCGACAGUGAACGUGAGACCUUCAGGUACGGCCACGAAAGCUGGAACGAUGACCAUCUUGUUCGUCGGGAGAGCUGUACGCACACCCCCUACCUGGCGCGCCACUAUCGACAAAAGCUAGUCGGCAGUCUACCUUGGGGUAUACCCACGGUAGUAGUUUAUUGGUAGACGGUGCGCAAGCUACGAACUCGAUGGUGACACAAGACACAGACAAGGUUUUUAUCUAGGUUCGGCCGCCGUGUGGGCGUAAUACCUACGUCCUGCGUUUGAUUGUAUUGGAUUGAGAGAAUAAUGUGUCCUAGGGGGGUCCCUUGCCCCUCCUCAUAUAGUCCGGAGGGCAGGGUUACAGAUCUGGAAACUAAUCCUAGUCGGUUACAACUACCAUAGAUAGUUUGAUAUCAAUCCCUAUUCUAACCGACCAGGAUCCGGCUUGAUCUCCACGUCUUGUUUCCUUGCGCGAAACUCCAAGCAGUUGGAUCAAGCCUCGGACCGUCUUUGUGAUGGCCCAAGCCUCCUAGCCCAAGUCUAGCCGUAAGGGUAUAGGGGUUUAUACCCCCACAAAAAUGGUUUCUUAGUCUUUGGUGCAUUAGGCGCAAACCGUGCACAUAUCUUGCACCAAAACUAAUACUGUCUCUAAGCACACCAAAGCGAGAUUCCAUAUGACACACAUCAACAAGGAUUUCUAUCGGGUGUGUCCAAAUUAAUUUCUAAGCAUAUGGUACGUUCCAUGCAGAUCGUGCAUCUAGCUUGCAUCAAGAUUAGCACUAUCUCCAAAUAGACCAAACCGAGCUUUCACUUGAGCCUUUUACCUAGGAGUACCAUCGGGUGCUUCCAAAAUGGUUUCUUAGCCUAUGUUGCAUUAUGUGCAAACCUUGCACCUAUCUUGCACCGAAACUAACACUGUCUCCAAACAGACCGAAGAAAGAUUUCGUAUGACACACGUCAUCUAGGAGUUCCAUCAUGUGCGUCGAGAUUGAUUUCCAAGCAUUUGGUAUGUUCCAUGCAAACCGUGCACCUAUCUUGCAUCAAGAUUAGCACUAUCUCCAAACAGACCGAACCGAGCUUCCACUUGAGCCUCUUCAUAUAGGAGUACAAAUAGGUGCAUCAAAAAUGGUUUCUUAGACUAUGGUGCAUUAGGUGCAAACUGUGCACCUAUCUUGCACCGAAACUAACAUUGUCUGCAAACGGACCGAAGCGAGAUUCCAUAUGACACGCGUCAUCUAGGAGUUCCAUUGGGUACGUCCAAAUUGAUUUCAUAACACAUGGUACGUUCCAUGCAAACUGUGCAACUAUCUUGCAUCAAGAUUAGCACUUUAUCCGAACAGACCAAAUCGAGCCUCCACUUGAGCCUCUUCAACUACGAGUACCAUCGGGUGCGUCUAAAAUGGUUUCUUAGCCUAUGGUGCAUUAGGCGUAAACCGUGCACAUAUCUUCUACCAAAACUAACAGUCUCUAAACGAAACGAAGCAAGAUUCCAUAUGACACACAUCAUCAAGGAUAUCAGGUGAGUCCUAAUUGAUUUCUGAGCAUACCGUAUGUUCCAUGCAAACCGUGCAUCUAUCUUGCAUCAAGAUUAGCACUGUCUCCAAAUAGACUAAACCGAGCUUUCACUUGAGCCCCUUGACCUAGGGGUACCAUCGGGUGCGUCCAAAAUGGUUUCUUAUCCUAUGGUGCAUUAGGUGCAAACUGUGCACCUAUCUUCCACCGAAACUAACACUAUCUUUAAACGGACCGAAGUGAGAUUCCAUAUGACACUUGUCAUCUAGGAGUUCAAUCUGGUGCGUCCAAAUUGAUUUCUGAGCAUAUAGUUAUGUUCCAUGCAAAUCGUGCACCUAUCUUGCAUCAAGAUUAGCACUAUCUCUAAACAGACCGAACCUAGCCUCCACUUGAGCCUCUUCACCUAGGAGUACCAACAGGUGCUUCAAAAAUGGUUUCUUAGACUUUGGUGCAUUAGGCGCAAACCGUGCACAUAUCUUGCACCGAAACUAAUACUGUCUCUAAGCACACCAAAGCGAGAUUCCAUAUGACACACGUCAUCAACGAGUUCUAUCGGGUGUGUCCAAAUUAAUUUCUAAGCAUAUGGUACGUUCCAUGCAGACCGUGCAUCUAUCUUGCAUCAAUAUUAGCACUAUCUCCAAACAGACCAAACCGAGCUUUCAAUUAAGCCUUUUACCUAGGAGUACCAUCGGGUGCGUCCAAAAUGCUUUCUUAGCCUAUGCUGCAUUAUGUGCAAACCUUGCACCUAUCUUGCACCGAAACUAACACUGUCUCCAAACAGACCGAAGCAAGAUUUCAUAUGACACACGUCAUCAACGAGUUCCAUCAUGUGCGUCCAGAUUGAUUUCCAAGCAUUUGGUAUGUUCCAUGCAAACCGUGCACCUAUCUUGCAUUAAGAUUAGCACUAUCUCCAAACAGACUGAACCGAGCAUCCACUUGAGCCCCUUCACCUAGGAGUACCAACAAGUGCAUCCAAAAUGGUUUCUUAGACUAUGGUGCUUAGGUGCAAACUGUGCACCUAUCUUACACCGAAACUAACAAUGUCUCUAAAUGGACCAAAGCGAGAUUCCAUAUAACACACGUAAUCAAGGAGUUCCAUCGGGUGCAUCCAAAUUGAUUUCCAAGCAUAUGGUAUGUUCCAAGCAAACCAUGCACCAACCUUGCAUAAGGAUUAGGACUAUCUCCAAACGGACCAAACCAAGCUUCUACUUGAGCCUCUUCACCUAGGAGUACCAAAUAGUGCGUCCAAAAUGGUUUCCUAGACUAUGGUGCAUUAGGCGCAAACUGUGCAAAUAUCUUGCACUAAAACUUACAAUGUCCACAAACGGACCGAAGCAAGAUUCCAUAUGACACACGUCAUCUAGGAGUUCCAUUGGGUGCGUUCAAAUUGAUUUCUAAGCAUAUGGUAUGUUCCAUGAAAAUCAUGCACCAAUCUUGCAUCAAGAUUAGCACAAUCUCUAAACAGACCAAACUGAGCCUCCACUUGAGCCUCUUCACCUAGGAGUACAAAAUAGUGCGUCCAAAAUGGUUUCCUAGACUAUGGUGCAUUAGGCGCAAACUGUGCACCUAUCUUGCACUAAAACUUACAAUGUCUACAAACGGACCGAAGCAAGAUUCCAUAUGACACACAUCAUCUAGGAGUUCCAUUGGGUGCGUCCAAAUUGAUUUCUAAGCAUUUGGUAUGUUCCAUGCAAAUCAUGCACCAAUCUUGCAUCAAGAUUAGCACUAUCUCUAAACAGACCGAACCGAGCCUCCACUUGAGCCUCUUCACCUAGGAGUACCAACAGGUGCUUCCAAAAUGGUUUCUUAGACUUUGGUGCAUUGGGCGCAAACCAUGCACAUAUCUUGCACCGAAAUUAAUAUUGUCUCUAAGCACACCAAAGCGAGAUUCCAUAUGACACACGUCAUCAAGGAGUUCUAUCGGGUGUGUCCAAAUUAAUUUUUAAGCAUAUGGUACGUUCCAUGCAGACCGUGCAUCUAUCUUGCAUCAAUAUUAGCACUAUCUCCAAAUAGACCAAACCGAGCUUUCACUUGAGCCUUUUACCUACGAGUACCAUCAGGUGCGUCCAAAAUAGUUUCUUAACCUAUCCUGCAUUAUGUGCAAACCUUGCACCUAUCUUGCACCCAAACUAACACUGUCUCCAAACAAACCGAAGCAAGAUUUUGUAUGACACACGUCAUCUAGGAGUUCCAUCAUGGCGUCCAGAUUGAUUUCCAAGCAUUUGGUACGUUCCAUGCAAACCGUGCACAAAUCAUGCAUCAAGAAUAGCACUAUCUCCAAACAGACCGAACCGAGCAUCCACUUGAGCCCGUUCACGUCCAAAAUGGUUUCUUAGACUAUGGUGCAUUAGGUGCAAAUUGUGCACCUAUCUUGCACCGAAACUAACAAUGUCUCCAAAUGGACCGAAGCGAGAUUCCAAAUGACACAUGUCAUCAAGGAGUUCCAUCGGGUGCAUCCAAAUUGAUUUCCAAGCAUAUGGUAUGUUCCAUGCAAACCAUGCACCUACCUUGCAUAAGGAUUAGCACUAUCUCCAAACUGACCGAACCAAGCUUCCACUUGAGCCUCUUCACCCAGGAGUACAAGAUAGUGUGUCCAAAAUGGUUUCUUAGACUAUGGUGCAUUAGGUGCAAACUGUGCACCUAUCUUGCACCGAAACUAACACUAUUUCUAAACAGACCAAAGCAAGAUUCCAUAUGACACACGUCAUCAAGGAGUUCCAUCGGGUGCAUCCAAAUUGAUUUCCAAGCAUAUGGUAUGUUCCAUGCAAACCGUGCAUCUAUCUUGCAUCAAGACUAGCAUUAUCUCCAAACAGACCGAACCGAGCUUCCACUUGAGCCUCUUAAUCUAGGAGUACAAACAGGUGCAUCAAAAAUGGUUUGUUAGACUAGGGUGCAUUAGGCACAAACUAUGCACCUAUCUUGCACCGAAACUAACAUUAUCACCAAACAGACUGAAGCAAGAUUCUAUAUGACACACGUCAUCUAGGAGUUCCAUUGGGUGCGUCCAAAUUGAUUUCUUUACAUAUGGUACGUUGCAUGCAAACUAUGCAACUAUCUUGGAUCAAGAUUAGCACUAUAUCUGAACAGGCCAAACGAGCCUCCACUUGAGCCUCUUCAACUAUGAGUACCAUCGGGUGCAUCUAAAAUAGUUUCUUAGCCUAUGGUGCAUUAGGCGUAAACCGUGCACAUAUCUUCUACCAAAACUAAGACUGUCUCUAAACGAACCGAAACAAGAUUCCAUAUGACACACAUCAUCAAGGAGUUAUAUCAGGUGUGUCCUAAUUGAUUUCUGAGCAUAUAAUAUGUUCCAUGCAAACCGUGCAUCUAUCUUGCAUCAAGAUUUGCACUAUCUCCAAUGAGACUAAACCGAGCUUUCACUUGAGCCCCUUGACCUAGGAGUACCAUCGGGUGCAUCCAAAAUGGUUUCUUAUCCUAUGGUGCAUUAUGUGCAAACCAAUUACCUAUCUUGCACCAAAACUAUUAUUGUCUCUAAACUUACCGAAGUGAGAUUCCAUAUGACACAUGUCAUCUAGAAGUUCCAUCUGGUGCGUCCAAAUUGAUUUCUGAGUAUAUGGUAUGUUCCUUGCAAAUCGUGCACCUAUCUUGCAUCAAGAUGAGCACUAUCUCUAAACAGACCGAACCGAGCCUCAACUUGAGCCUCUUCACCUAGGAGUACCAACAGGUGCUUCCAAAAUGGUUUCUUAGACUUUGGUGCAUUAGGCGCAAACCGUGCACAUAUCUUGCACCGAAUCUAAUACUGUCUCUAAGCACACCAAAGCGAGAUUCCAUAUGACACACGUCAUCAAGGAGUUCUAUCGGGUGUGUCCAAAUUAAUUUCUACGCAUAUGGUACGUUCCAUGCAGACCGUGCAUCUAUGUUGCAUCAAGAUUAGCACUAUCUCCAAAUAGACCAAACCGAGCUUUCACUUGAGCCUUUUACCUAGGAGUACCAUCGGGUGCGUCCAAAAAGGUUUCUUUGCCUAUGCUGCAUUAUGUGCAAACCUUGCACCUAUCUUGCACUGAAACUAACACUGUCUCCAAACAGACCAAAGCAAGAUUUCGUAUGACACAGGUCAUCUAGGAGUUCCAUCAUGUGCGUCUGGAUUGAUUUCCAAGCAUUUGGCAUGUUUCAUGCAAACCGUGCACCUAUCUUGCAUUAAGAUUAGCACUAUCUCCAAACAGACCGAACCGAGCAUCCACUUGAGCCCCUUCACCUAGGAGUACCAACAAGUGCGUCCAAAAUGGUUUCUUAGACUAUGGUGCAUUAGGUGCAAACUCUGCACCUAUCUUGCAUAGAAACUAACAAUAUCUCUAAAUGGACCGUAGCGAGAUUCCAUAUGACACACGUCAUCAAGGAGUUCUAUCGGGUGUGUCCAAAUUAAUUUCUAAGCAUAUGGUAUGUUCCAUGAAGACCGUGCAUCUAUCAUGCAUCAAGAUUAGCACUAUCUCCAAACAGAUCAAACCGAGCUUCCACUUGUGCUUCUUCACCGAACUACCAGCAGGUGCUUCCAUAAUGGUUUCUUAGACUAUGGUGCAUUAGGCGCAAACCAUGCACUUAUCUUGCACCGAAACUAAUAUUGUCUCUAAGCACACCAAAGCAAGAUUCCAUAUGACACACAUCAUCAAGGAGUUCUAUCGGGUGUGUCCAAAUUAAUUUCUAAGCAUAUGGUACGUUCCAUGCAGACCGUGAGUCUAUCUUGCAUCAAGAUUAGCACUAUCUCCAAAUAGACCAAACUGAGUUUCACUUGAGCCUUUUACCUAGGAGUACCAUCGGGUGCGUCCAAAAUGAUUUCUUAGCCUAUGAUGCAUUAUGUGCAAACCUUGCACCUAUCUAGUACCGAAACUAACACUGUCUCCAAACAGAACGAAGCAAGAUUUUGUAUGACACACGACAACUAGGAGUUCCAUCAUGUGCGUCCAGAUUGAUUUGCAAGCAUUUGGUAUGUUCCAUGCAAACCGUGCACCUAUCUUGCAUCAAGAUUAGCACUAUCUCCAAACAAACCGAACCGAGCAUCCACUUGAGCCCCUUCACCUAGGAGUACCAACAAGUGCGUCCAAAAUGGUUUCUUAGACUAUGGUGCAUUAGGUGCAAACUGUGCACCUAUCUUGCACCGAAACUAAAAAUGUCUCCAAAUGGACCGAAGUGAGAUUCCAUAUGACACAUGUCAUCAAGGAGUUCCAUCGGGUGCAUCCAAAUUGAUUUCCAAGCAUAUGGUAUGUUCCAUGCAAACCAUGCACCUACCUUGCAUAAGGAUUAGCACUAUCUCCAAACUGACCGAACCAAGCUUCCACUUGAGCCUCUUCACCCAGGAGUACCAAAUAGUUCGUCCAAAAUGGUUUCUUAGACUAUGGCACAUUAGGCGCAAACUGUGCACCUAUCUUGCACUAAAACUUACAAUGUCUACAAACGGACCGAAGCAAGAUUCCAUAUGACACACGUCAUCUAGGAGUUCCAUUGGGUGCGUCCAAAUUGAUUUCUAAGCAUAUGGUAUGUUCCUUGCAAAUCAUUCACCUAUCUUGCAUCAAGAUUAGCACUAUCUCUAAACAGACCAAACUGAGCUUCCACUUGAGCCUCUUCACCGAAGUUCCAACAGGUGCUUCCAAAAUGGUUUCUUACACUAUGGUGCAUUAGGCGCAAACCAUGCACAUAACUUGCACCAAAACUAACACUGUUUCUAAAUAGACCAAAGCGAGAUUCCAUAUGACACACGUCAUCAAGGAGUUCCAUCGGGUGCAUCCAAAUUGAUUUCCAAGCAUAUGGUAGAAGAUAUAACUCCUUGAUGAUGUGUGUCAUAUGGAAUCUUGCUUCGGUUCGUUUAGAGACAGUGUUAGUUUUGGUAGAAGAUAUGUGCACGGUUUACACCUAAUGCACCAUAGGCUAAGAAACUAUUUUAGACGCACCCGAUGGUACUCGUAGUUGAAGAGGCUCAAGUGGAGGCUUGAUUUGGUCUGUUCGGAUAUAGUGCUAAUCUUGAUGCAAGGUAGUUGCACAGUUUGCAUGGAACGUACCAUAUGUUAUGAAAUUAAUUUGGACGCACCUAAUGGAACUCCUAGAUGACGUGUGUCAUAUGGAAUCUUGCUUCGGUCUGUUUGGAGACAUUGUUAGUUUCAGGGCAAGAUAGGUGCAUAGUUUGUGCCUAAUGCACCAUAGUCUAAGAAACCAUUUGUGAUGCACCUGUUUGUACUCCUAGAUGAAGAGGCUCAAGUGGAUGCUCGGUUCGGUCUGUUUGGAGAUACUGCUAAUCUUGAUGCAAGCUAGGUGCACGGUUUGCAUGGAACGUAACAUAUGCUUGGAAAUCAAUUUGGAGGCAUCCGACGGAACUCCUUGAUAACAUGUGUCAUAUGGAAUCUCAUUUUGGUGUGUCUAGAAACAGUGUUCGUUUCGGUGCAAAAUAUGUGCAUGGUUUGCGCCUAAUGCACCAUAGUCUAAGAAACCUUUUUGGAAGCACCUGUUGCAUCUUUGGUGAAGAGGUUCAAGUGGAAGCUCGAAUUUAUCUGUUUGGAGAUAGUGCUAAUCUUGAUACAAGAUAGGUGCAUGAUUUGCAAGGAAUAUACCAUAUGCUUGAUGACGUGUGUCAUAUGGAAUCUCGCUUUGGUGUGCUUAGAGACAUUAUUAGUUUCGGUGCAAGAUAAGUGCACGGUUUGCGCCUAAUGCUCCAAAGUCUAAGAAACCAUUUUGGAAGCACAUGUUCGUACUCCUAGGUGAAGAGGAUCAAGUGGAGGCUCGGUUCUGUCUGUUUAGAGAUAGUGUUAUUCUUGAUGCAAGAUAGGUGCACGAUUUGCAAGGAACAUACUAUAUGCUCAGAAAUCAAUUUGGACGCACCAGAUGGAACUCCUAGAUGACAUGUGUCAUAUGGAAUCUCACUUCGGUCCGUUUAGAGAUAGUGUUAGUUUCAGUGCAAGAUAGGUGCACAGUUUGCACCUAAUGCACCAUAGGAUAAAAAACCAUUUUGGACACACCCGAUGGUACUCCUAGGUCAAGGGGCUCAAGUGAAAGCUCGAUUUGGUCUGUUUGGAGAUAGUGCUAAUCGUGAUGCAAGAUAGAUGCACGGUUUGUAUGGAACAUACGGUAUGCUCAGAAAUCAAUUAGGACUCACCUGAUAUAACUCCUUGAUGAUGUGUGUCAUAUGGAAUCUUGCUUCGGUUCGUUUAGAGACAGUGUUAGUUUUGGUAGAAGAUAUGUGCACAGUUUACGCCUAAUGCACCAUAGGCUAAGAAACUAUUUUAGACGCACCCGAUGGUACUCGUAGUUGAAGAGGCUCAAGUGGAGGCUCGAUUUGGUCUACUCGGAUAUAGUGCUAAUCUUGAUGCAAGAUAGUAGAACAGUUUGCAUGGAACGUACCAUAUGUUAUGAAAUUAAUUUGGACGCACCCAAUGGAACUCCUAGAUGACGUGUGUCAUAUGGAAUCUUGCUUCGGUCUGUUUGGAGACAUUGUUAGUUUCAGGGCAAGAUAGGUGCAUAGUUUGUGCCUAAUGCACCAUAGUCUAAGAAACCAUUUUUGAUGCACCUGUUUGUACUCCUAGAUGAAGAGGCUCAAGUGGAUGCUCGGUUCGGUCUGUCUGGAGAUACUGCUAAUCUUGAUGCAAGAUAGGUGCACGGUUUGCAUGGAACAUAACAUAUGCUUGGAAAUCAAUUUGGAUGCACCCGACGGAACUCCUUGAUGACAUGUGUCAUAUGGAAUCUCACUUUGGUGUGUCUAGAAACAGUGUUCGUUUUGGUGCAAGAUAUGUGCAUGGUUUGCGCCUAAUGCACCAUAGUCUAAGAAACCAUUUUGGAAGCACCUGUUGGAUCUUUGGUGAAGAGGUUCAAGUGGAAGCUCGGUUUUAUCUAUUUGGAGAUUGUGCUAAUCUUGAUACAAGAUAGGUGCAUGAUUUGCAAGGAACAUACCAAAUGCUUGAUGACGUGUGUCAUAUGGAAUCUCGCUUUGGUGUGCUUAGAGACAUUAUUAGUUUCGGUGCAAGAUAUGUGCACGGUUUGCGCCUAAUGCACCAAAGUCUAAGAAACCAUUUUGGAAGCACCUGUUGGUACUCCUAGGUGAAGAGGCUCAAGUGGAGGCUCGGUUCUGUCUGUUUAGAGAUAGUGCUAAUCUUGAAGCAAGAUAGGUGCACGAUUUGCAAGGAACAUACCAUAUGCUCAGAAAUCAAUUAGGACGCACCAGAUGGAACUCCUAGAUGACAUGUGUCAUAUGGAAUCUCACUUCGGUCCGUUUAGAGAUAGUGUUAGUUUCGGUGCAAGAUAGGUGCACAGUUUGCACCUAAUGCACCAUAGGAUAAAAAACCAUUUUGGACACACCCGAUGGUACUCCUAGGUCAAGGGGCUCAAGUGAAAGCUCGGUUUGAUGCAAGAUAGAUGCACGGUUUGCAUGGAACAUACAGUAUGCUCAGAAAUCAAUUAGGACUCACCUGAUAUAACUCCUUGAUGAUGUGUGUCAUAUGGAAUCUUGCUUCAGUUUGUUUAGAGACAGUGUUAGUUUUGGUAGAAGAUAUGUGCACGGUUUACGCCUAAUGCACCAUAGGCUAAGAAACUAUUUUAGACCCACCCGAUGGUACUCGUAGUUGAAAAGGCCCAAGUGGAGGCUCGACUUGGUCUACUCGGAUAUAGUGCUAAUCUUGAUGCAAGAUAGUUGCACAGUUUGCAUGGAACGUACCAUAUGUUAUGAAAUUAGUUUGGACGCACCCAAUGGAACUCCUAGAUGACGUGUGUCAUAUGGAAUCUCGCUUCGGUCUGUUUGGAGACAAUGUUAGUUUCAGGGCAAGAUAGGUGCAUAGUUUGUGCCAAAUGCACCAUAGUCUAAGAAACCAUUUUGGACGCACCUGUUUGUACUCCGAGAUAAAAGAGGCUCAAGUGGAAGCUCGGUUCGGUCUGUCUGGAGAUAGUGCUAAUCUUGAUGCACGGUAGAACUCCUUGAUGACAUGUGCCAUAUGGAAUCUCGCUUUAGUCUGUUUAGAAACAGUGUUAGUUUUGGUGCAAGAUAUGUGCAUGGUUUGUGCCUAAUGCACCAUAGUCUAAAAACCAUUUUGAAAGCACCUGUUGGUACUUCGAUGAAGAGACUCAAGUGGAAGCUCGGUUUGAUCUGUUUGGAGAUAGUGCUAAUCCUGAUGCAAGAUAGGUGUAUGAUUUACAAGGAACAUACCAUACGCUUAGAAAUCAAUUUGGACGCACCCAAUGGAACUCCUAGAUGACGUGUGUCAUAUGGAAACUUGCUUCGGUCCGUUUAGAGAUAGUGUUAGUUUCGGUGCAAGAUAGGUGCACAGUUUGCACCUAAUGCACCAUAGGAUAAAAAACCAUUUUGGACACACCCGAUGGUACUCCUAGGNNNNNNNNNNNNNNNNNNNNNNNNNNNNNNNNNNNNNNNNNNNNNNNNNNNNNNNNNNNNNNNNNNNNNNNNNNNNNNNNNNNNNNNNNNNNNNNNNNNNNNNNNNNNNNNNNNNNNNNNNNNNNNNNNNNNNNNNNNNNNNNNNNNNNNNNNNNNNNNNNNNNNNNNNNNNNNNNNNNNNNNNNNNNNNNNNNNNNNNNNNNNNNNNNNNNNNNNNNNNNNNNNNNNNNNNNNNNNNNNNNNNNNNNNNNNNNNNNNNNNNNNNNNNNNNNNNNNNNNNNNNNNNNNNNNNNNNNNNNNNNNNNNNNNNNNNNNNNNNNNNNNNNNNNNNNNNNNNNNNNNNNNNNNNNNNNNNNNNNNNNNNNNNNNNNNNNNNNNNNNNNNNNNNNNNNNNNNNNNNNNNNNNNNNNNNNNNNNNNNNNNNNNNNNNNNNNNNNNNNNNNNNNNNNNNNNNNNNNNNNNNNNNNNNNNNNNNNNNNNNNNNNNNNNNNNNNNNNNNNNNNNNNNNNNNNNNNNNNNNNNNNNNNNNNNNNNNNNNNNNNNNNNNNNNNNNNNNNNNNNNNNNNNNNNNNNNNNNNNNNNNNNNNNNNNNNNNNNNNNNNNNNNNNNNNNNNNNNNNNNNNNNNNNNNNNNNNNNNNNNNNNNNNNNNNNNNNNNNNNNNNNNNNNNNNNNNNNNNNNNNNNNNNNNNNNNNNNNNNNNNNNNNNNNNNNNNNNNNNNNNNNNNNNNNNNNNNNNNNNNNNNNNNNNNNNNNNNNNNNNNNNNNNNNNNNNNNNNNNNNNNNNNNNNNNNNNNNNNNNNNNNNNNNNNNNNNNNNNNNNNNNNNNNNNNNNNNNNNNNNNNNNNNNNNNNNNNNNNNNNNNNNNNNNNNNNNNNNNNNNNNNNNNNNNNNNNNNNNNNNNNNNNNNNNNNNNNNNNNNNNNNNNNNNNNNNNNNNNNNNNNNNNNNNNNNNNNNNNNNNNNNNNNNNNNNNNNNNNNNNNNNNNNNNNNNNNNNNNNNNNNNNNNNNNNNNNNNNNNNNNNNNNNNNNNNNNNNNNNNNNNNNNNNNNNNNNNNNNNNNNNNNNNNNNNNNNNNNNNNNNNNNNNNNNNNNNNNNNNNNNNNNNNNNNNNNNNNNNNNNNNNNNNNNNNNNNNNNNNNNNNNNNNNNNNNNNNNNNNNNNNNNNNNNNNNNNNNNNNNNNNNNNNNNNNNNNNNNNNNNNNNNNNNNGGACAGGGGAUAGCAUCAAUCUAUAUGAACCGUCUAUCAAUCUUGCUUCGGUUCGUUUAGAGAUAGUGUUAGUUUUGGUAGAAGAUAUGUGCACGGUUUACGCCUAAUGUACCAUAGGCUAAGAAACUAUUUUAGACGCACUCGAUGGUACUCGUAGUUGAAGAGGCUCAAGUGGAGGCUCGAUUUGGUCUGCUCGGAUAUAGUGCUAAUCUUGAUGUAAGAUAGUUGCACAGUUUGCAUGGAACGUACCACAUGUUAUGAAAUUAAUUUGGACGCACCCAAUGGAACUCCUAGAUGAUGUGUGUCAUAUGGAAUCUCGCUUCGGUCUGUUUGGAGAUAGUGUUAGUUUUGGUGCAAGAUAAGUGCACGGUUUGCGCCUAAUGCACCAUAUAAUAAGAAACCAUUUUGGACGCACCCGAUGGUACUCCUAGAUGAAGAGGCUCAAGUGGAAGCUCGGUUCGGUCUGUUCGGAGAUAGUGCUAAUCUUGAUGCAAGAUAGGUGCACGGUUUGCAUGGAACAUACCAUUUGCUUGGAAAUCAAUUUGGAUGCACCCGACGGAACUCCUUGAUGACAUGUGUCAUAUGGAAUCUCACUUUGGUCUGUCUAGAAACAGUGUUCGUUUCGGUGCAAGAUAUGUGUAUGGUUUGCGCCUAAAGCACCAUAGUCUAAGAAACCAUUUUGGAAGCACCUGUUGGAUCUUUGGUGAAGAGGCUCAAGUGGAAGCUCGGUUUUAUCUGUUUGGAGAUAGUGCUAAUCUUGAUGCAAGAUAGGUGCAUGAUUUGCAAGGUAUACCAUAUGCUUGAUGACGUGUGUCAUAUGGAAUCUCGCUUUGGUGUGCUUAGAGACAGUAUUAGUUUCGGUGCAAGAUAUGUGCACGGUUUGCGCCUAAUGCACCAAAGUCUAAGAAACCAUUUUGGAAGCACCUGUUGGUACUCCUAUGUGAAGAGGCUCAAGUGGAGGCUCGGUUCGGUCUGUUUAGAGAUAGUGCUAAUCUUGAUGCAAGAUAGGUGCACGAUUUGCAUGGAACAUACCAUAUGCUCAGAAAUCUAUUUGGACGCACCAGAUGGAACUCCUACAUGACAUGUGUCAUAUGGAAUCUCACUUCGGUCCGUUUAGAGAUAGUGUUAGUUUCAGUGCAAGAUAGGUGCACAGUUUGCACCUAAUGCACCAUAGGAUAAAAAACCAUUUUGGACACACCCGAUGGUACUCCUAGGUCAAGGGGCUCAAGUGAAAGCUCGAUUUGGUCUGUUUGGAGAUAGUGCUAAUCGUGAUGCAAGAUAGAUGCACGGUUUGUAUGGAACAUACGGUAUGCUCAGAAAUCAAUUAGGACUCACCUGAUAUAACUCCUUGAUGAUGUGUGUCAUAUGGAAUCUUGCUUCGGUUCGUUUAGAGACAGUGUUAGUUUUGGUAGAAGAUAUGUGCACAGUUUACGCCUAAUGCACCAUAGGCUAAGAAACUAUUUUAGACGCACCCGAUGGUACUCGUAGUUGAAGAGGCUCAAGUGGAGGCUCGAUUUGGUCUGUUCGGAUAUAGUGCUAAUCUUGAUGCAAGAUAGUUGCACAGUUUGCAUGGAACAUACCAUAUGUUAAGAAAUUAAUUUGGACGCACCAAAUGGAACUCCUAGAUGACGUGUAUCAUAUGGAAUCUCGCUUCGGUCUGUUUGGAGACAAUGUUAGUUUUGGUGCAAGAUAGGUGCAUAGUUUGUGCCUAAUACACCAUAGUCUAAGAAACCAUUUUUGAUGCACCUGUUUGUACUUCUAGAUGAAGAGGCUCAAGUGGAAGCUCGGUUCGGUCUGUUUGGAGAUAGUGCUAAUCUUGAUGCAAGAUAGGUGCACGGUUUGCAUGGAACGUACCAUAUGCUAGGAAAUCAAUUUGGAUGCACCCGACGGAACUCCUUGAUGACAUGUGUCAUAUGGAAUCUCACUUUGGUCUGUCUAGAAACAGUGUUCGUUUCGGUGCAAGAUAUGUGCAUGGUUUGCGCCUAAUGCACCAUAGUCUAAGAAACCAUUUUGGAAGCACCUGUUGGAUCUUUGGUGAAGAGGCUCAUGAGGAAGCUCGGUUUUAUCUGUUUGGAGAUAGUGCAAAUCUUGAUGCAAGAUAGGUGCAUGAUUGGCAAGGAACAUACCAUAUGCUUGAUGACGUGUGUCAUAUGGAAUCUCGCUUUGGUGUGCUUAGAGACAGUAUUAGUUUCGGUGCAAGAUAUGUGCACGGUUUGCGCCUAAUGCACCAAAGUCUAAGAAACAAUUUUGGAAGCACCUGUUGGUACUCCUAGGUGAAGAGGCUCAAGUGGAGGCUCGGUUUGGUCUGUUUAGAGAUAGUGCUAAUCUUGAUGCAAUAUAGGUGCACGAUUUUGCAUAGAAUAUACCAUGUGCUCAGAAAUCAAUUUGGACGCACCAGAUGGAACUCCUAGAUGACAAGUGUCAUAUGGAAUCUCACUUCGGUCCGUUUAGAGAUAGUGUUAGUUUCGGUGCAAGAUAGUUGCACAGUUUGCACCUAAUUCACCAUAGGAUAAAAAACCAUUUUGGACACACCCGAUGGUACUCGUAGGUCAAGGGGCUCAAGUGAAAGCUCGAUUUGGUCUGUUUGGAGAUAGUGCUAAUCUUGGUGCAAGAUAGAUGCACGGUUUGCAUGGAACAUACGGUAUGCUCAGAAAUCAAUUAGGACUCACCUGAUAUAACUCCUUGAUGAUGUGUGUCAUAUGGACUCUUGCUUCGGUUCGUUUAGAGACAGUGUUAGUUUUGGUAGAAGAUAUGUGCACGGUUUACGCCUAAUGCACCAUAGGCUAAGAAACUAUUUUAGACGCACCCGAUGGUACUCGUAGUUGAAGAGGCUCAAGUGGAGGCUCGAUUUGGUCUGCUCGGAUAUAGUGCUAAUCAUGAUGCAAGAUAGUUGCACAGUUUGCAUGGAACGUACCAUAUGUUAUGAAAUUAAUUUGGACGCACCCAAUGGAACUCCUAGACGACGUGUGUCAUAUGGAAUCUCGCUUCGGUCUGUUUGGAGACAAUGUUAGUUUUGUUGCAAGAUAGGUGCAUAGUUUGUGCCUAAUGCACCAUAGUCUAAGAAACCAUUUUUGAUGCACCUGUUUGUACUCCUAGAUGAAGAGGCUCAAGUGGAUGCUCGGUUCGGUCUGUUUAGAGAUAAUGCUAAUCUUGAUGUAAGAUAGGUGCACGGUUUGCAUAGAACAUAACAUAUGCUUGGAAAUCAAUUUGGAUGCACCCGACGGAACUCCUUGAUGACAUGUGUCAUAUGGAAUCUCACUUUGGUAUGUCUAGAAACAGUGUUCGUUUCGGUGCAAGAUAUGUGGAUGGUUUGCGCCAAAUGCACCAUAGUCUAAAAAACCAUUUUGGAAGUUCCUGUUGGAUCUUUGGUGAAGAGGCUCAAGUGGAAGCUUGGUUUUAUCUGUUUGGAGAUAGUGCUAAUCUUGAUACAACAUAGGUGCAUGAUUUGCAAGGAACAUACCAUAUGCUUGAUGACGUGUGUCAUAUGGAAUCUCUCUUUGGUGUGCUUAGAGAUAGUAUUAGUUUCGGUGCAAGAUAUGUGCACGGUUUGUGCCUAAUGCACCAAAGUCUAAGAAACCAUUUUGCAAGCACCUGUUGGUACUCCUAGGUGAAGAGGCUCAAGUGGAGGCUCGGUUCGGUCUGUUUAGAGAUAGUGCUAUUCUUGAUGCAAGAUAGGUGCACGAUUUGUAUGGAACAUACCAUAUGCUCAGAAAUCAAUUUGGACGCACCAGAUGGAACUCCUAAAUGACAUGUGUCAUAUGGAAUCUCACUUCGGUCCGUUUAGAGAUUGUGUUAGUUUCGGUGCAAGAUAGGUGCACAGUUUGCACCUAAUGCACCAUAUGAUAAAAAACCAUUUCGGACACACCCGAUGGUACUUCUAGGUCAAGAGGCUCAAGUGAAAGCUCGGUUUGAUGCAAGAUAGAUGCACGGUUUGCAUGGAACAUACGGUAUGCUCAGAAAUCAAAUAGGUCUCACCUGAUAUAACUCCUUGAUGAUGUGUGUCAUAUGGAAUCUUGCUUCGGUUCAUUUAGAGACAUUGUUAGUUUUGGUAGAAGAUAUGUGCACGGUUUACGGCUAAGAAACUAUUUUAGACCCACCCGAUGGUACUCGUAGUUGAAAAGGCUCAAGUGGAGGCUCGAUUUGGUCUACUCAGAUAUAGUGCUAAUCUUGAUGCAAGAUAGUUGCACAGUUUGCAUGGAACGUACCAUAUGUUAUGAAAUUAAUUUGGACGCACCCAUUGGAACUCCUAGAUGAUGUGUGGCAUAUGGAAUCUCGUCGGUCUGUUUGGAGACAAUGUUAGUUUCGGAGAAAGAUAGGUGCAUAGUUUGUGCCUAAUGCACCAUAGUCUAAGAAACUAUUUUUGACGCACCUAUUUGUACUCCGAGAUAAAAAGGCUCAAGUGGAAGCUCGGUUCGGUCUGUCUGGAGAUAGUGCUAAUCUUGAUGCAAGAUAGGUGCACAGUUUGCAUGGAACAUACCAUAUGCUUGGAAAUCAAUAUGGAUGCACCCGAUAGAACUCCUUGAUGACAUGUGUCAUAUGGAAUCUCGCUUUGGUCUGUUUAGAAACCGUGUUAGUUUCGGUGCAAGAUAUGUGCAUGGUUUGUGCCUAAUGCACUAUAGUCUAAAAACCAUUUUGAAAGCACCUGUUGGUACUUCGAUGAAGAGACUCAAGUGGAAGCUCGAUUUGAUCUGUUUGGAGAUCGUGCUAAUCUUGAUGCAAGAUAGGUGCAUGAUUUACAAGGAACAUACCAUAUUCUUAGAAAUCAAUUUGGACGCACCCAAUGGAACUCCUAGAUGACGUGUGUCAUAUGGAAUCUUGCUUCGGUCCGUUUGUUGACAUUGUAAGUUUUAGUGCAAGAUAGGUGCACAGUUUGCACCUAAUUCACCAUAGUCUAAGAAACCAUUUUGGACGCACUAUUUGGUACUCCUUGGUGAAGAGGCUCAAGUGGAAGCUUGGUUCGGUCAGUUUGGAGAUAGUGCUAAUCCUUAUGCAAGGUAGCUGCAUGGUUUGCAUGGAACAUACCAUAUGCUUGGAAAUGAAUUUGGAUGCACCCGAUAGAAGUCCUUGAUGACGUGUGUCAUAUGGAAUCUCGCUUCUGUCAUUUGGAGACAUUGUUAGUUUCGGUGCAAGAUAGGUGCACAGUUUGCACCUAAUGCACCAUAGUCUAAGAAACCAUUUUGGACGCACUUGUUGGUACUCCUAGGUGAAGGGGCUCAAGUGGAUGCUCGGUUCGAUCUGUUUGGAGAUAGUGCUAAUCUUGAUGCAAGAUAGGCGCAUGAUUUGCAUGGAACAUACCAUAUGCUUAGAAAUCAAUUUGGACGCACCAGAUGGAACUCCUAGAUGACAUGUGUCAUAUGGAAUCUCACAUUGGUCCGUUUAGAGACAGUGUUAGUUUUAGUGCAAGAUAAGUGCACGAUUUGCAACUAAUGCACCAUAUAAUAAGAAACCAUUUUGGACGCACCCGAUGGUACUCAUAGAUGAAGAGGCUCAAGUGGAAGCUCGGUUCGGUCUGUUUGGAGAUAGUGCUAAUCUUGAUGCAAAAUAGGUGCACGAUUUGCACGGAACAUACCAUAUGCUUGGAAAUCAAUUUGGAUGCACACGACGGAACUCCAUGAUGACAUGUGUCAUAUGGAAUCUUGAUUUGGUUCGUUUAGAAAUAGUGUUCGUUUCGGUGCAAGAUAUGUGCAUAGUUUACGCCUAAUGCACCAUAGGCUAAGAAACCAUUUUAGACGCACCCGAUGGUACUCAUAGCCGAUUUGGUCUGUUCGGAUAUAGUGCUAAUCUUGAUGCAAGAUAGUUGCACAGUUUGCAUGGAACAUACCAUAUGUUAAUAAAUUAAUUUGGACGCACCCAAUGGAACUCCUAGAUGACGUGUAUCAUAUGGAAUCUCGCUUCGGUCUGUUUGGAGACAAUGUUAGUUUUGGUGCAAGAUAGGUGCAUAGUUUGUGCCUAAUACAGCAUAGUCUAAGAAACCAUUUUUGACGCACCUGUUUGUACUCUUAGAUGAAGAGGCUCAAGUGGAAGCUCGGUUCGGUUUGUUUGGAGAUAGUGCUAAUCUUGAUGCAAGAUAGGUGCACGGUUUGCAUGGAACAUACCAUGUGCUUGGAAAUCAAUUUGGAUGCACCCAACGGAACUCCUUGAUGACAUGUGUCAUAUGGAAUCUCACUUUGGUCUAUCUAGAAACAGUGUUCGUUUCGGUGCAAGAUAUGUGCAUGGUUUGCGCCUAAUGCACCAUAGUCUAAGAAACCAUUUUGGAAGCACCUGUUGGAUCUUUGGUAAAGAGGCUCAAGUGGAAGCUCGGUUUUAUCUGUUUGGAGAUAGUGCUAAUCUUGAUGCAAGAUAGGUGCAUGAUUUGCAAGCAACAUACCAUAUGCUUGAUGACGUGUGUCAUAUGGAAUCUCGCUUUUGUGUGCUUAGAGACAGUAUUAGUUUCGGUGCAAGAUAUGUGCACGGUUUGCGCCUAAUGCACCAAAGUCUAAGAAACCAUUUUGGAAGCACCUGUUGGUACUCCUAGGUGAAGAGGCUCAAGUGGAGGCUCGGUUCGGUCUGUUUAGAGAUAGUGCUAAUCUUAUUGCAAUAUAGGUGCACGAUUUGCAUGGAACAUACCAUAUGCUCAGAAAUCAAUUUGCACGCACCAGAUGGAACUCCUAGAUGACAUGUGUCAUAUGGAAUCUCACUUCGGUCCGUUUAGAGAUAGUGUUAGUUUCGGUGCAAGAUAGGUGCACAGUUUGCACCUAAUGCACCAUAGGAUAACAAACCAUUUUGGACACACCCGAUGGUACUCCUAGGUUAAGGGGCUCAAGUGAAAGCUCGGUUUGAUGCAAGAUAGAUGCACGGUUUGCAUGGAACAUACGGUAUGCUCAGAAAUCAAUUAGGACUCACCUGAUAUAACUCCUUGAUGAUGUGUGUCAUAUGGAAUCUUGCUUCGGUUCGUUUAGAGACAGUGUUAGUUUUGGUAGAAGAUAUGUGCACGGUUUACGCCUAAUGCACCAUAGGCUAAGAAACUAUUUUAGACGCACCCGAUGGUACUCGUAGUUGAAAAGGCUCAAGUGGAGCCACGAUUUGGUCUACUCGGAUAUAGUGCUAAUCUUGAUGCAAGAUAGUUGCAUAGUUUGCAUGGAACAUACCAUAUAUUAAGAAAUCAAUUUGGACGCACCAAAUGGAACUCCAAGAUGACGUGUGUCAUAUUGAAUCUCGCUUCGGUCUGUUUGGAGACAAUGUUAGUUUCGGUGCAAGAUAUGUGCAUAGAUUGAGCCUAAUGCACCAUAAUCUAAGAAACCCUUUUUGACGCACCUGUUUGUACUCCUAGAUGAAGAGGCUCAAGUGGAAGCUCGGUUUGAUGUGUUUGGAGAUAGUGCUAAUCUUGAUGCAAGAUAGGUGCAUGUUUUGUAAGGAACAUACCAUAUGCUUAGAAAUCAAUUUUACACACGCAGUGAAACUCCUAGAUGACAUGUGUCAUAUGGAAUCUUGCUUCAAUCCGUUUGUAGACAUUGUAAGUUUUAGUGCAAGAUAGGUGAACAGUUGCGCCUAAUGCAGCAUAGUCUAAGAAACCAUUUUGGACGCACUAUUUGGUACUCCUAGGUGAAGACGCUCAAGUGGAAGCUUGGUUUGGUCAGUUUAGAGAUAGUGCUAAUCCUUAUGCAAGGUAGGUGCAUGGUUUGCAUGGAACAUACCAUAUGCUUGUAAAUCAAUUUGGAUGCACCCGAUGGAACUCUUUGAUGACGUGUGUCAUAUGGAAUCUUGCUUCGGUCCAUUUGGAGACAUUGUUAGUUUCGGUGCAAGAUAGGUUCACAGUUUGCACCUAAUGCACCGUAGUCUAAGAAACCAUUUUGGACGCACUUGUUGGUACUCCAAGGUGAAGGGGCUCAAGUGGAUGCUCGGUUCGGUCUGUUUGGAGAUAGUGCUAAUCUUGAUGCAAGAUAGGUGCACGGUUUGCAUGGAACAUACCAUAUGCUCAGAAAUCAAUUUGGACGCACCAGAUGGAACUCCUAGAUGACAUGUGUCAUAUGGAAUCUUGCUUCGGUCUGUUUAGAGACAGUGUUAGUUUCGGUGCAAGAUAGGUGCACGGUUUGCACCUAAUGCACCAUAGGAUAAGAAACCAUUUUGGAUGCACCUGAUGGUACUCCUAGGUCAAGGGGCUCAAGUGAAAGCUCGGUUUGGUCUGUUUGGAGAUAGUGCUAAUCUUGAUGCAAGAUAGAUACACGGUUUGCAUGGAACAUACGAUAUGCUCAGAAAUCAAUUAGGACACACCUAAUAUAACUCAUUGAUGAUGUGUGUCAUAUGGAAUCUUGCUUCGGUUCGUUUAGAGACAGUGUUAGUUUUGGUAGAAGAUAUGUGCAUGGUUUACGCCUAAUGCACCAUAGGCUAAGAAACCAUUUUAGACGCACCCGAUGGUACUCGUAGUUGAAGAGGCUCAAUUGGAGGCUCAAUUUGGUCUGUUUGGAUAUAGUGCUAAACUUGAUGCAAGAUAGUUGCACAGUUUGCAUGGAACAUACUAUAUGUUAAGAAAUCAAUUUGGACGCACUCAAUGGAACUCCUAGAUGACGUGUGUCGUAUGGAAUCUCGCUUCAGUCUGUUUGGAGAUAAUGUUAGUUUUGGUGCAAGAUAGGUGCAUAGUUUGUGCCUAAUGCACCAUAGUCUAAGAAACCAUUUUUGACGCACCUGUUUGUACUCCUAGAUGAAGAGGUUCAAGUGGAAGCUCUUUUUGACCUGUUUGGGGAUAGUGCUAAUCUUGAUGCAAGAUAGGUGUAUGAUUUGCAAGGAAUAUACCAUAUGCUUAGAAAUCAAUCUGGAUGCAUCCAAUGGAACUCCUAGAUAACGUGUGUCAUAUGGAAUCUCGCUUCGGUCUGUAUGGAGACAAUGUUAGUUUCGGUGCAAGAUAGGUGCAUAGUUUGUGCCUAAUGCACCGUAGUCUAAGAAACCAUUUUUGACGCACCUGUUUGUACUCCUAGAUGAAGAGCCUCAAGUGGAAGCUCGGUUUGAAGUGUUUGGAGAAAGUGCUAAUCUUGAUGCAAGAUAGGUGCAUGUUUUGCAAGGAACAUACCAUAUGCUUAGAAAUCAAUUUUACGCACCCACUGGAACUCCUAGAUGACGUGUGUGAGAUGGAAUCUUGCUUCGAUCCGUUUGUAGAUAUUGUAAGUUUUAGUGCAAGAUAGGUGCACAGUUUGCGCCUAAUGCAGCAUAGUCUAAGAAACCAUUUUUGACGCACUAUUUCGUUCUCUUGGCUGAAGAGGAUCAAGUGGAAGCUUGGUUUGGUCAGUUUGGAGAUAGUGCUAAUCCUUAUGCAAGGUAGGUGCAUGGUUUGCAUGGAACAUACCAUAUACUCAGAAAUCAAUUUGGAUGCACCCGAUGGAACUCCUUGAUGACGUGUGUUAUAUGGAAUCUUGCUUCGGUCCGUUUAGAGACAUUGUUAGUUUCGGUGCAAGAUAGGUGCACGGUUUGCACCUAAUGCACCAUAGGAUAAGAAACCAUUUUGGACGCACCCGAUGGUACUCCUAGGUUAAGGGGCUCAAGUGAAAGCUUGGUUUGGUCUCUUUGGAGAUAGUGCUAAUCUUGAUGCAAGAUAGGUGCUCGGUUUGCAUGGAACAUUCCAAAUGCUUGGAAAUCAAUCUCGACACACAUGAUGGAACUCCUAGAUGACGUGUGUCAUACGAAAUCUUGCUUCGGUCUGUUUGGAGACAGUGUUAGUUUCGGUGCAAGAUAGGUGCAAAGUUUGCACAGAAUGUAGCAUAGGUUAAGAAACCAUUUUGGAUGCACCAAAUGGUACUCCUAGGUAAAAGGCUCAAGUGAAAGCUCGAUUUGGUCUAUUUGGAGAUAGUGCUAAUCUUGAUGCAAGAUAGAUGCACGGUUUGCAUAGAACAUACCAUAUGCUUAGAAAUUAAUUUGGACACACCCGAUAGAACUCCUUGAUGAUGUGUGUCAUAUGGAAUCUCGAUUUGGUGUGCUUAGAGACAGUAUUAGUUUCGGUGCAAGAUAUGUGCACAGUUUGCGCCUAAUGCACUGAAGUCUAAGAAACCAUUUUGGAAGCACCUGUUGGUGCUCCUAGUGAAGAGGCUGAAGUGGAGGCUCGGUUAACCCUGUUUAGAGAUAGUGCUAAUCUUGAUGCAAGAUAGGUGCACGAUUUGCAUGGAACAUACCAUAUGCACAGAAAUCAAUUUGGACGCACCAGAUGGAACUCUUAGAUGACAUGUGUCAUAUGGAAUCUCACUUCGGUCUGUUUAGAGACAUUUUUAGUUUCGGUGCAAGAUAGUUGCACGGUUUGCACCUAAUGCACCAUAGGAUAAGAAAACUUUUUGGACGCACCCGAUGGUACUCCUAGGUCAAGGGGCUCAAGUGAAAGCUCGUUUUGGUCUGUUUGGAGAUAGUGCUAAUCUUGAUGCAAGAUAGAUACACGGUUUGCAUGGAACAUACGGUAUGCUCAAAAAUCAAUUAGGACACACCUAAUAUAACUCCUUGAUGAUGUGUGUCAUAUGGAAUCUUGCUUCGGUUCAUUUAGAGACAUUGUUAGUUUUGGUAGAAGAUAUGUGCACGGUUUACGCCUAAUGCACCAUAAGCUAAGAAACCAUUUUAGACGCAUCCGAUGGUACUCGUAGUUGAAGAGGCUCAAGUGGAGGCUCGAUUUGGUCUGUUUGGAUAUAGUGCUAAUCUUGAUGCAAGAUAGUUGCACAGUUUGCAUGGAACGUACCAUAUGUUAAGAAAUCAAUUUGGACGCACCCAAUGGAACUCCUAGAUGACGUGUGUCAUAUGGAAUCUCGCUUCGGUCUGUUUGGAGACAAUGUUAGUUUUGGUGCAUAGUUUGUGCCUAAUGCACCAUAGUCUAAGAAACCAUUUUUGACGCACCUGUUUGUACUCCUAGAUGAAGAGGCUCAAGUGGAAGCUCUGUUUGAUCUGUUUGGAGAUAGUGCUAAUUUUGAUGCAAGAUAGGUGCAUGAUUUGCAAGGAACAUACCAUAUGCAUAGAAAUCAAUUUGGAUGCACCCAAUAGAACUCCUAGAUGAAGUGUAUCAUAUGGGAUCUUGAUUCGGUCCGUUUGUAGACAUUGUAAGUUUUAGUGCAAGAUAGGUGCACAGUUUGCGCCUAAUGAACCAUAGUCUAAGAAACCAUUUGGUCGCACUAUUUUGUACUCUUGGGUGAAGAGGCUCAAGUGGAAGCUUGGUUCGGUCAGUUUGGAGAUAGUGCUAUUCCUUAUGCAAGGUAGGUGCAUGGUUUGCAUGGAACAUACCAUAUGCUUGGAAAUCAAUUUGGAUGCACCCGAUGGAACUCCUUGAUGACAUGUGUCAUAUUGAAUCUCGCUUCGGUCCAUUUGGAGACAUUGUUAGUUUCAGUCAAAGAUGGGUGCACAGUUUGCACCUAAUGCACCAUAGUGUAAGAAACCAUUUUGGACGCACUUGUUGGUACUAGGUGAAGGGGCUCAAGUGGAUGCUCGGUUCGGUCUGUUUGGAGACAGUGUUAAUUUUUGAUGAGGACAUCAACACCAGCGAUACAUCCUCUCCUACAUCCUCUCCGACACAACCUAUAGCUGGUCCUACAUCUCCGACACAACCUAUAGCUGGUCCUACAUCCUCUCCGACACAACCUAUAGCUGGUGCUCUUACUCGUGCUCGUGCCCGUCAACUCAACCUUCAAGUAAGUUCAGUUUUAAACUCUCGUCAAUCAUAUUUAGACAAUGGAGACACGUGCACUUUCGUGUUGCUCAGGAAUAAUGGACAAGAUCAGCAAGGGAAGGUUCAACUGCAUUCAGAAUUUGAGGCAACACCAACUUCAAGGGCUGAUUGCAUAUGGGAAGAGUGAUAACUUAACAAAGGUGAUUGGAGAUCAGGUCCAAGCCUCCACAACAUCCUCUAUCAAGUUACCACGUCGCUUCUAAAGCAAGGAAACAAAGAGUCCAAACCCAACACGUUUUGGGAGUUGGAUUCGGACUGGAAAAUAACUCUAACUUGUAUGGAUCACCACGGCGUCAUAUGGACUCUAACUGGGACGUUCCUAUACUUGUUGGAAAGCUCAUGAAGUCUACUUUCCAAUGGGUCCAACCACAUAUCUAUGCAGCUUAUGAGUCGGGCGCAGUCCUUGUUUUCGUACCGACACCUUUUUCUGUUUUGGUGCUGCGUCACCCUAUUUUGGACCAAUGGCCCAUGUAUCAAGUUGAGUCCAUUAGGGACGCGUCCUAGGGUUGGAGGAUGACUCUAGCACCCCUUUGGUCGUCCUCCCCUCUAUUUAUUUACAUCUAGAGCCGCCAUGAACAACUGGGUUUUGAUUAGAUAAAGUUUAGCCUUCGCUACUUGCUUGUAAACGCGCGUGCUGAUCCAGCCGCCCGUCUUCUUGUUUUCGAAACCCCACUUCAUUAGAGAUUGAGUUUGAAACCUUCAUUUACAUCUAGUAAUUUAGUACUUGUUCUACUUGUUCUUGCUGGUUCUUCGAUUGCUUGCAGGACGAGUGCCCUAGUGGCCGGGUGUUGCGCUCCACAAGAUCGUGACAGCCAUUGGAGGCGGUGUAUCGGUUGCUAAGGCGCGGUCUUGAGGGCUGUAGUCUGGCCGUGAACGUCAUCUCCAUUCACUAAUCGAGUUAUCCAGCGCCUCUCAUCAAAAGAUCAGGCGAAAACCAUAGUGGGUUCACAUCAGUUGGUAUCAGAGCAAGGUUUAUCGGUGAGAGAUUUCCAAUUCUUCGUGUUUGUUUUUCCUAUAGUCCAAAAAAAGACAAAAAAUAUAGCAGAUUUGUUUUCCAUAAUCCUAUAAAUCCUUUGUGCCGUGGCUAGUACCGUUUUAGUUAGGGCUUGUUGAAUUUGUGUUGGCUCGGUUUGUGUCGAGUUGCUGGUCUUAGUGUCUAGUCCUUUAGAGUUUCGAGUUCUUGUCACCAUCUAUACACAGCCGAGUAUUACCAUAUCUUCUCUCUGUCGAAUCUGUUGCAAAGUCCAAAUUGAACUGUGGUCUUGGUCCGGAUCGAGUAGAGUUCCAAUCUGAGUUCAAAAAGAAAGAUAACUCCAUACUUGUUCGGUCUUACUCUAGAGAGAGAGAGAGAGAGUGUGUAGCGAAUUAGUGUGUGUAGCGAAUUGCUCUUUUGUAUUCUUUUGUUCAUAUAAUCAGUUUUUGAUGUUGCCCAAAAAAAAAGAAAAAAAAGAAAAAAAAGAAAAGAGAAAAGAUUCAAAAGAAAAAAAAGGGGUUGUUUUUAAUAUUGAUUUUAGGUUUGUUCCACCUUGUUUUCGGGG
rnacentral:lncRNA from 1 species